rnacentral:lncRNA from 1 species
UUCUGUGGAAACAGAUGCUUUCAAAAUUCCUGAAUCAACACCCUCUGCAGAAAAUGGUGGUCAAGUUAGGCAUAGUCAGUCAUCUGCUUCUCAGGGGUUUAGUUUACAGCUGGCUCCGCCGUCUCAACCAGCUCCCUUACCUGAUAACGUGCAGUUUUCUAUGAACUCUUUGCAGCCAUUGAAUUCACUUCAUACUGCCCCUGAAAAAGGAGCAACAAGUCAAUCAAGGUUUGCUCCAUGGGCAUCUAGUCAAUCUUUUCCACAGCAAUCCACUUAUCAAGGACCAGGAGAAAGCAACAAUACCUCUGGUUUCCCAUAUUCCAAAGGGUAUCACCAAAAUCAACUGCUGCCUGUUUCUACCCGACAGUUAACUCCUAACCAUUUAGUCAGAUCAUCUUCUGAGGUGUCGACCCCUCAAGUGAAAGAAAGAGACCGAAGCAGUGACUAUUCAGCACAAACACCUUCCCUGCUAAAUCCUACGACCCACAAGAACAAAGGAGAUUCAGCUGAAGGGUUUCCUAUGCUGUCUGCUCCUCAGCCUCGGGUAGGAUUUAGUUCGCCUCAGCAGAGUUCCUCUUCUGGUAUGAGGUCUGACUCAGGAGCCGGUAUUUCAGCACCGCAACAUCGGUUUUGGAACCAGCCACCUAAGCCUCAGCCAGAUAUAUUACGGCCGCAUCCAGUUACCAAUAGCCACGUAGAAGACAUCUUCUCAAGGCAGGGGAAGAGAAAUCAAUUAUCCUCUCAAAAUGGAGGAGACAUGUCAUUAAGUGGAAGGGACAUGGUGAAUAUGCAUGAGUUGCAGAGUCAAGAUAUGGGUGCAAAACAAACAGCUGGUGUUGCUUCGAUGUUCUCCAAAAUGGGGCAGAUCAAUCAUCAAACCUUGGAUCGCUCUCUUCCUUCUAACAACCGUCCAAAAGAUGACGUGCGUCACAAUGAGCGUAUGGCUGGAAGUGGGGAGGGUGACGCACCCAAGAUGACUGUGAAGAGAGUCGAGGAUAGUUCUGUUCAUCUUCAAAAGGUAGCUUCCAAAGAGGUGCAACAGUCACCUUUAAGAUCUGAUGGUUUACUGAGAGAUGGAUUGAAUCACAAGGAAUCAGAGAACCACUCGCUACCUUUCGGCCAAACUGUUUCUCAGAGUUUCUCCAAUAAGAAUCAUUCUGCCUCGGCUGGAGCAGAUCAUCAACAACAAAUCAGUCCUCAGAUGGCUCCAUCCUGGUAUAAUCAAUAUGGAACUUUCACCCCCUUGAAGAUAGGAGAAAAAUCUUCUAAUGUUGGGAGUUCGGCUGAUGGCUCACAUAAUGAUCAAUCUCCAAAGCAGUUUAAUACGCAGAAAAUGCCAGGCUCCGCACCAGGAGCGGAGAUUCCCUCAUCUGAGUCAUUGCCUCGUGGUGCAACUGACGAACUUAUGAAUGUUGUUAAACCAAAGAAGCGCAAAACCGCCACAUCAGAGCUUCUAUCUUGGAAUAAAGAAGUCAUGCAUGGUUCCCAGAGGCUUAAGACUCUCAGGUGUGUGGCUUAUGAGCACUAAUAUUGAUUUUUAAUCUUUCAUAUAGAUUACCGUAUUAAUCUACUAUACUCUUUACAGUGAGGCGGAGGUUGAUUGGGCCAGAGCAACCAAUCAAUUUGCUGAAAAGGUGAGUUUCCUCAUUACAUACUUUCUCUCGCCUGUCUCGUUGUCCAAUGUUGUUGAAUAAGUUGAUGGCUUAUGUUCGCACAGGUGGAAUAUGGGAAUUUACUUGAGGAUGGCCCACGACUCAGAUCAAAGAGAAGGCUUAUAUAUACAACACAACUCAUGCAACAACUAUUUCGCCCGCCUCCUGCUAGGGUAAUAUCUUUGAUUGCUAGCUCAAACUAUGAGUUUGUUGCAUAUACUGCUGCAAGAGGUGCACUAGGAGAUACAUGUAGCUCCACUUUUACUGAUAGGAACGAAUGCCUUUUGCCCCAGAACAAAUCAAACCCGUAAGGAUAUGUACUGUUUGUUAUCCUUGAAAUGCUGGAGAGUUUGAGGUUAUGUAUUAACACAAACUUAUCCACUCUUGUGUAGGGUGUCUGAGAGAAGGAAAACUGAAACAACCAGUGACCAGUACAUCUCCAAAGCUGCUGAAGAUUUCAUUAGCAGGUCACAGAAACUAGAAAAUAACUUUGCAGGGUAAAAGACCAUGCCUAGCUCUCUCUAGUAAUUGAUUUUAGUUCUUAAUGGGUACUCGUUAUGGCGGCUUGAUCUCAUGAACAUUUGAAACUAUGAGUUUGUUGCAUAUACUGCUGCAAGAGGUGCACUAGGAGAUACAUGUAGCUCCACUUUUACUGAUAGGAACGAAUGCCUUUUGCCCCAGAACAAAUCAAACCCGUAAGGAUAUGUACUGUUUGUUAUCCUUGAAAUGCUGGAGAGUUUGAGGUUAUGUAUUGACACAAACUUAUCCACUCUUGUGUAGGGUGUCUGAGAGAAGGAAAACUGAAACAACCAGUGACCAGUACAUCUCCAAAGCUGCUGAAGAUUUCAUUAGCAGGUCACAGAAACUAGAAAAUAACUUUGCAGGGUAAAAGACCAUGCCUAUCUCUCUCUAGUAAUUGAUUUUAGUUCUUAAUGGGUACUCGUUAUGGCGGCUUGAUCUCGUGAACAUCUGUUUUUUCUUUUUCUUUUGCAGACUACAGAACGGAUCAACAAUUGCUGACUUGAUCGUGGAAGUCCAGGAUCUAGAGAAGUUUGCAGUGAUCAAUCGUUUUGCGAAGUUCCACCCAACAUCCUCAUCUACAGACCGGAACGUGAGUUCACUUAGGUUAAACCCACAAAGAUAUGUUACUAUAGCUCCAAUGCCUCAGAAUGUUCCAGACAGGGUACACUGUCUCUCUCUCUAACCAUUGAUGAAUCCAUCAUAUUAUUCUGUUUUUGGCCAGUAGUUCCCAUUCAUAUGUAUCUCGUGCACCAGAUGUUUGUAUUUCUUGGGUGGGUAUGAGUUAGUAGUUGGUCAGGAUUCUGAGAACUGUGAAGGUCUCUAUUGUUAAGAAGCCGGAGAUUUCCUACUAGACAUGAAGAAUUAAUGUAUUCAUGAUCAUAUAUGAUUAUUGCAAGUCAGAAUAUUUUGUAUACUUAGUAAAGAAAAAUUGCUCAUAACAGAAAAUCUAAUAAGGUUACAACCUAUGGUUUCCAGUAAACAAAACAUAACAAUAUAAUUUCAACAAAGCUAAGGUUCUAAAAAUCUCUUCCUCUUGUCUCUUAAGUCACUUAGAGCUUUGUAGAAGCAGUCAUGCUUUAAAGUCGCAGAAACUUAACCAGACGCUUAAGGAACAGCUUUCAAACUUUAGAAGGUGAGUCUAAUUUCUUCCCCGGCCAUCGCUAAUAUCUCAUCCACCCUGUAACAAAAUAUGCAACACAGGCUCUCAUCAGAAAGAGUAGAACUCGAGAAUGACAGUAGUCAAACUGUAAAUACUUACCUAUGACUGUCAAUGUUUAUCUCUGCAAGCCAAGCUGUCAAGUAAAUCUGCAUAGCAAAAAAAGAUCUUGUAAGAUAAAUUUUAACAGAAGAUUUUUCCUGAAAACAAAUCCCACAUACCUGCAAAAUUUCCGAGGUUGGCUGGUUGGUAUGUGAUACAGAAGAGAUACCGAGAUUAUCUUCUCUCAGUCUGGGGAGAAUUGGCUCAUCUAGUUCCAUGGAGUAUAAAGAACAUUUGGAGAGAUCAUCAAACUCUCCAUGGUAAAGCUCAGCUGACCAACUGAGCUUCACCGGUUGAGGAACUUCACAGCUUAAAGAGACCAGUUCCAUGACAAGUAAUCUCUAUUGAAUAAUGACGUUAUGGCAGAAAACAAAAUCAGAAGCUAAUUAAGAGCCUAGAGAUUAUAUACAGAAUUGAGUAAGGAGGAAGAAAGUAAACUUUACCUUUAGCAUUACUUCUCGUUUGAACAUCUCCACAAGCUCCUCGGCCAUCUUCUCUGUGAUCAUAUCAACAUUGCAGAAAAAGGUGAAUCAAGUAAUCAAUGGCUAGUUUUUGGUUAAUGAGCUUACCAAAUGCAGAGACAUUCAAAAAAUUAAACACAGGGAUGCCACCGCAGUCUCCAGCAUCAUCUGAAUCUUCCUUAGAGCCAGAGAACUGUAUAAUCGAACCGCUACUCGGCUUCAUAUAACAUCUCAGAGAACUACUUACAUUCACCAUCUCAACAACAACAGCCACCUGCAUUUUACCAACCACAUAAUUGUUUACACAUUCCAAAUUCACAAGAAUAUUAGAUAGUCAUUUGCCACACACACUCACCAUUUCCUUGUACGAAGAUAGAAGCUUGAUCCGACACGAACUCUGAACAUACAAAGACUCAAUAUGUGAAGUAAAAAACACAAAGAGUGUAGUAAAGUUAAAAACUUUUCACCUGUUGCUUAGACAGCUUCUUCAAAGUCUUCUCCUUGAUACCAACCAUGUCACUCAACGCACCAAACUUCAUUGCUGGCACAAACCUAUUAGCCAUACAAAACACAAAGUGAUUUAAAAGAAUUCAUCUUUUUUAAUUUAAUCACACAUCAAAGUUAGUAAGGGCUCCACACGUUUGGGAUAGAUACGCAUUGACGAGCGAAGUGGCGUGAGAUUUUCCGCCGGAACAAGCGGCGACCCACUGUUGCCGGAAAGUCGAGAGCUUUGACCACUGGUUCCUUAGAUUCCGCUGAGCAGCUGGUCUCCAUAGCCUCAUCGAAGAUGAUGAUGAUGAUAAACUCGCCGGAGAUGGAGAUGGAGAUGGAGAAGCUAGCGAUCGCGAAGAAGACGCUGGAGAUGGAGAAGCAGGCGGAGGAAACUGUGAGGCGCUCAUCGCUCUUGAGCUUAAAGGCUUCUCAAAAUAUUCAGUAGACGAACGACGGUUCGAUGCCGGCGGCGUAGAGACGCCGGCGAGAGCUAUUCUUAUAGGGCUUAUGAAAGAAGAAACAUAAAGGGUAUAAUUGUAAUUAUACUGUGAAGCUUAUUUAACUGGAUUAAAUAAAAUAUUAUUAACUGGUGUAAAAAUAAAAAGUUACUGCGGUGUAGUUAUAUGAUGGAAGGAGCAAUAUUAACAGUAGAUCAGAUUUUACAGUGACGGCAAGUUUUAGAGAGAGAAGUAAGAGAGAGAGAGAGAGAGAGAGAGAGAGAGAGAGAGAGAGGAUGUCUCACAGUCACGGGAACGUUUCGUCGGCGAACGAUCCACGGCAGCCUUCGGCGGCGAAGCCUUACACUCCGCGACCUAUUGCCCCGGAGGAUCUCCCCGUUGACUACUCCGGAUUCAUCGCGGUUAUCCUCGGCGUCUCUGGGGUUAUGUUCAGAGUAAGUUUACACACUAGAUCUCAUGUGAUCCUUGCUCGCUUCUAGAAACUCUUGAUCCGGUUGUUUACGCUUCAGAUUUGGUGAGCUAGGUCGUCGGAUCUUCGAUUAAUCAACAGCAAUCUGUAGCUCGAUUGGAUCUUAUAGUUUCGAUUGAAUCGAUUUAGCUUAGUUUCCUCAGAUUUGGAUGAUUUUAACUACUCAGAGUGUGAUUGGAUCAUGUUAUAGAUUAGAUCUCCUUUUAAGAUUUGAGCACAGUUCAAAUGGAUGAGAUAGCAGUUGUGAUUGGAUCUUAUAGUUUCUAUUGAAUUGAUUUAGCUUAGUUUCCUUAGAUUUGGCAGAUUCUAACUACUCAAGAGUGUGAUUGAAUCAUGUAAUUAGACUUAGAGAUAGAUUUGAUCUCCUUUGAGAUUUGAGCACAGUUCAAAUGGAUGAGAAGAUGAGUUGUUUCUUUGGAGUCUAAUGGAUAAGAGAUUGGUUUUUUUUUUUUUUGUUGUUGUGUGUGUUUCAGUACAAGAUAUGCUCGUGGCUUGCGCUUAUAUUCUGUGCUCAGUCGCUGGCCAAUAUGAGGAACUUGGAGACUGAUUUGAAGCAGAUCUCCAUGGCUAUGAUGUAUGGUUCCCUUCCUCACUCUUGUUAUUUUCAUUAGUUAGUGAGCCAAAAGCAAUUGUUUAUACCACUUUCUGUUCAAUAUGAGCCAUGGUGUUGGUUGUUGUUGAUGUUGACUCGAGUUUUCUUGUAUUUGAAACAGGUUUGCUAUUAUGGGAUUGGUCACAAACUACUUGGGGCCUAAUAGACCCGCCGCGACAAAGAAAUAAUUCUGAACUACUCUUGCUUUCUUUAUCUUUUAUCAAACCUUGUUUGGUUCUUGUUUUCCGCACUUUUAAGUUAUAAAUUGCACCAUGGUGAGAUUUGAAGCCUAGUUUUUUGUUUCUGUGAAACUUUUCUCAUUAUUAUUUAGGUGUUUUGAGUAACAAACUAGACUAGAGCUCAUGUUCGAAGGUUCUCAUUUCAGACACACAGAAAUUGAAUUCCAGUUUUAUGUUUUAUAUCCACUAUUUAUGAUAUAUGAGAAGUUGAAGACAUUCAGGUAAAUUAGAGGCUUAGAGCCACCUUCUGAAACUAUGAAGCAUAAGCUCGAAGCUGUUACUGAGCUCAGCUUUCUGGGGAUGUAUGAAUAACUACAAACAUGGCUGAUUCUACACAGCACUUGACGACUUGAGAGAUGGAGAGAGAAUCGUUGUUUACAAAUAUGAGUUACGUUGUGUGGUUUCUGUAACAAGCAAAAAAAAUCUUUACUCAAGUAUACAGAGGAGACAUUGAGUAAGCUUGUUUACAAAAAAUGAAAAUGCAACAUAGAGCUAACAUUGAAUGAAAAAACAAAUUCUUUAGCAUAUGAUAAAAUGGAGUCACUGAGAACAAGAAACAAAUCUUGAACUGAGAUAUUUGUAUAACAUUGGUGGAAUCAUAAACCAGACCACCAGUUCGAUGGAGAGAGAAGACAUUGAAGAAGUACAAAAAAAAUUGAGAAAAUAAGAGACGUUCCUCCGUUGUUAUCAGGUUUGCUUCAGACAGCCAUGAGAUCACCAAAGCCACGCAUGAGGAAGAUUCCUCCUGCAAACACCCCAAGUGCUCUCACAAGUUUCUGCACCCAACAAGUAGACAUUAGAUUUUUGAUGUAAACAACAAAGUCUAAGCAUCAAAAGAACAAGAUAUUCAUAUACUUUCAAGGCAUAGACUUGUGAUUUGACAAAAUCUAAAUCUCUGAGAAACCAAACAUUCCCAAAUUCGGAUUCAAACAAUUGCUCAAGACAUCAUCAAAUGUACAAAGAAAAGCUCUGACUUGGCGUCUCGAAACAUGCAAAGCGAAUCAAAGUCUAAACUCAACUGACUCAAUUCAAGAUAAACCCCUAAACCUUGACUCUCACAAUAGCUGCAAUACCCAACAAAGUUCAAUUGAAGUCAUAGAGAAUCAACUUCGUAGCUCAACUCAGAAUCAAACCAAACAUAAACAGACUCCUCAUAGAGAGAGAAAAAGAAAGAGACUUUACCAUGUUAGCUGCCCACUUCUGCUCAUUGUGGACCUCAGAGUGCCACAGAGCUUUCAGCUGAUCCAUUGAGAUAACACUCUUCACCAUCGUCCCCUGCUCAAAAAUCGCAGCUUUGAUCGUCUAGUUGCCGGAACCUACUUCAAAGCAUCUAACGACACGAACCCUAACUAACAAUAAGUUAAAUAACUCUCUUUAAAACAUUUUGGGCCUAUUUUAAAAUGAUUGAGCCCGCUAAGAGGCCCACUAAAUCUCUUCUUCUUUCUCAUGUCCGAAUCAAUCCGGUUAAAUCCCGGUUUAGAGUAAACCGAUCAAGCAUUUUAGAAUCGAAACUAAUCAGACCAAGCUCUCUCUCUCUAACCAUCAUCAAUGGCGAAAUCAGCGGCGACGGCGACAUCCUCCCUCGUGCAAAACCUCAGACGUUUCAUCAAGAAGCCGUGGGAGAUCACCGGACCCUGCGCUCAUCCGGAGUACCUCGAGUCCGUUCCCAAGGCGACGGAGUAUCGUAUCAGAUGCCCCGCCACGAUCGACGAAGAGGCGAUCGUGCCUACCGCGGAUCCAGAGAAUGUAUACAAUAUCUUGUACCACGCGAGGGAUCAGCGCCGUAACCGUCCGCCGAUCAAGCGUUAUCUGUUGAAGAAGGAGGACGUGGUGGAGAUGAGGAACGAGAAGAAGACGUUCGAGGAGACGGACUUGCCUAGGGUUUACUUGACGACCACUGUUGAGGAGGAUGAGAACGCGCGCGGCGGAGGCUACGAGUAACGAUCAGGUGAGGAAAUUUCGAUUUCUCGUUGGUAAGAGAUUUAUUUUUAUUUUUGUUGGUAAAAUGUAAAUAUUUAUACCAUUUUUGAAUUUUAUCACAUUGUUGCGAACAACUUAUUAGACAGAGAAAUAAAAGAAACAACACAGUGAGACUAUGUGAGAGAUUUGCGAUUGAUUAUGUGAUCAUAUCAAAUUUUUUGAGGUUUAUAUUUGUGUAGAUUACUGUGAUUAAUGUAGAAGUGAGCUAGAUUAUGGUCUAGGCUUGGACCUGACCUUAUGGGGUUUAUAGAUCAUCUGGUUUCGUAAUGGCGAAAUGCAUCAUUGGCUUCUCGUUCUCGUGUGAGUUGUUAAAGUUGUACACUUUUCAUUAACUUCUUUUCCCAGUGUCUGUAUUAUGAAUUUUCAGUUGCAAUCGUGGCCAUAAGUUAAUUAAACUAGUCCAUUUCCUUUGAUUAUGAUCGAGAAUCGACUGAACCGUCAUUAGACCAUUUCGAUUCUACUAGAUUUUAAUUGGAACUCGGGAGUGGAGUAAGCUUUUCCCGCUCUUUACAGUAUCUUUCUCUCUGUGAAAUAAGACUCAGAGCAUUUUGAUUAAUAAGUUUGGACAUUUUGUCUAAAAGAUUUAGAGGUCGAAUGGGUUUAAAAUGAUGGGUUUUUUUUUUGGUUGAUUUAGAAUGUUUUUUGAUGCUUUAGGUUUUUUUCAGAGAGCCUGACUUAACCUGUUGAAAUAGAUCUAUCUAGCUGCUGCUGGAGUUCUAGCCAGUUAGAAAUGUCUGUGUUUGUGCUUUAGCCUACGAUUCUAUACUACCACAGCAGUUUAGUAAUUCAAUAUAUUCUGAGUUUCCAUAUCUUCUCUCUGUAAUUUCGUGUUUUUUUUUUCCCUUUCUUUGUAGGUUUUCUCUAGUCUCUCUUUCCUGUAAUCUGCUGGUGGGGGGGGAAGGAUUGCGUGCGAUAUAUCUCCUUGCGGUCAAAAGAUUCUCCCUGGUUUGUUUGUUUAUUUAAUAAAGAUUCUUAGUAGCUUUAUCUACGACAAAACAGUCUUUUCUUUCCUUCACAAGAACCACAUUGUUGUUCGGUCAUAUUCUCUAUAUUUACGUUCUAUGAUGAACUCAUGUUGAGCUUUUUUCUUUCUCUUUUGUCUAUGGCACACGCAUAUUAAUAGAUACCAUGCCUGGUAAAUUUUGAAACAUUUACCUUUUUUUACUUUGCUUCUUUUUUGCAACAACUAAAUAUCUUGGAUUGUUUUCUUAGACAUGCUUACAAAGUUACAAUACCUUUUUUUCAUGCAGAAAUUUUAGUACUAAGAGAAUAUAUGAUAUAAAAACUGGAUAUAAAUGGUCCAUUGUGAUACUUUACUUUCAUCACCGGCAUGCUUCAAGCCUUCAAACUUAUUAGAGGAACAAAAUACUAAUAAAAAAUAGGGAAAACUGUUUUUUUAGAGCAAAAAAAUAGUAACUAUGUCCCUUUAGACUAAUCUAUAUUUUGUGUCAUAUUUUCCUAUAAUACCCUUUAAUAUUUAUGAAAAUAAUUUUAAUAAAUAGUUUUACAAACAAAAAAAAUUUGGAAAAAUAGUAACAUUUGUUAAAAUACCUAUAUGAACUUAAUGGUAUAUUUUCCAGUUAUAAAAAAGUUAAAAUUAUAAAUUUCAGAAGUUUGGGUGAGAAUUUGAUUUUCUCCCCCUUUGUUCGUGAAUGGGAAAUUAAGGAUUUCGUCCCAGAGAAAUCGAGUUUAAAGAGUUGAAAUCAUGCUUAGUCGGUUCAAAUCAAGUGGGAAUCAACCCGGAUAUAAUCAUACAAAACCAAAAAAAUCGAUUUGGGAUUCUUUCCUGGGCACGGGAUCGAUCGAUCUAUCCUUAGUGGAUCGGUCGAUCUGUAAAGAAUCGACCUUCGCCGAUCGAGUGAAAUGGACCAGGUCGAUCAGUAUAUAUUUCGCGUUUUUUUGUUCUGAAUAAUUAUCGGGAUCGAUCGAUCCACUGUAACUUGUAAAGCUGGAUCGAUCGAUCCCGCUUGUUGAACUCAUUAUUUAUCUUUUUAAAAAAAUUACAAUUUUAAGGGCAUUACUGCCAUUUUCGAAAAAAUUAGUCUAAUAGGACAUAAAGUAGUACAGAUUAGUCUAAAGGGACAUAGUUACCUUUUUUUUGCUCUAAAAAAACAGAUUUCCCUAAAAAAUAUAAGUUGCACUUUGUUUCAUUUUCACAUAAUUGACCACUUAGCUUAUGCAUGCAAAUUCUUCGUCUCUCUCUUCCUUUAUCCCCAACCUAUCUUGUCCUUCCUGUUAUUGCUGCUAACUUUUCUUCUUCUCAAAGCAUUUUUUUAAAUUCAAAUAUCAAAAUCAAAUUCAAAACAGUUUUUGGAACAUAUAUAUAAUCAAAAUCAAAUUUUACAAUAACUACUUUUAAGUUGUAACUUCCUACUCUGUCCCUAUAGUUUAUGAAAAGAACUCUGUCCCUAUAUUUUGUAGCUGAAAAACCAGUGAUACAAUAUGCAUAAAAUGCAUGCAGCCACAUUGUCCUAUUGAUUUAUGUUCUUUUUUUAUUUUAGUAAGAAAUCGGGAGUUGACAAAAGAAAAAGUAAGAGAUCGGGAAAAACAAAGAAGCAUGCUGAACAAUUUAUUUAUGAUAGGAUGUAAUUGACCAACGAAUAAUUAAUUAGAAAAAGACAGCAACUAAUCAGACAUUAAUAAAUUAACAGCAAAGAAUAUAUUUUGUUUUAACAGUAUUUUUUCAGGCAAGUCACCUAUCAGAGUUGUCUUUAGCUAGGACAUGGAUGGCAUGUCGGAAACAUCCGUCUUUUCCCACCAAACCGAACCGGUUAAAGUCACCAAUCCCCGGUUUAAUUCCGGUUAUUAAUACAUUAACCGAUAAAUCUGGAAAAAGGAAAUUAAAAUCCCUAAGAUUACAUAUUAUUACAACUAAACUCCUCCUUACAUUGAGCCAGAUCCGUCCCUCCUCUCUCGAUUCCUGUCUCACUAAGUCUCUCUCUCGCUUGUCCCUCGAAGAUCGACACUUGCCUUUGGCUUAAUCGAAGUCGUCUUCUCCUUCGUUCUUGGAAUAAACCGAAACCAAGCUUUGGUCUCCCAACACCAUACGAUGAACGAUCUUCUGAAGGUGAGAUUUUUAGGGUUUUGUUGAGUUUGAAUUGGGAUGUUGAUUAUCUAUUGUAGAUGCUGAUUUUUCAAAAAUUAAGACACUUUCUUAUGUUCUGCAAUUGAAAUUGAUCAUGUAAUGAAUCAUAAUGUAAUGAUCCUAUGAUGAUAAGCUAAAGUUUUAGUCUUUUCUGAUUAUUUGAUCUUAAGGUUUAGUCUUUUCUGCUUUUUUAUCAUCUGAGACUUAAAGGGUAUAAGCUAAUCGAUUAUUGAGUUUAAGUUGUGGAUUUUUUUUUUUUUUUUUUAUCUUGUAGGGUUCGUUUGAGCUUCCACGGGGCGAAUCUUCUAGACAAAGUGAUGUCGAGCUAGGUGAACAAGGAGGUGAUCAAGGUUUAGACGAGUUCUUCAAAAAGGUAUUUUUACUCAAGUGAUAUACAUUUACUCUAAACCAACUUACUCUGCCUAAGCGUUUUCUUCCUUUGUCUUGUUAGGUUCAAGACAUUGACAAACAAUAUGAAAAGCUUAAUAAGCUUCUCAAGAAACUUCAGGUAUUUUAAACCAAUUACAUAGUAAUUAAUGCUUGUUGGCUUUCCCUUUACCAAAGAUUUAUUAUUCUGUUGCAUUACUGUUUUAAAACCUAUAGGCUGCUCAUGAGGAGUCCAAGGCUGUGACUAAAGCUCCUGCCAUGAAGGGUAAGUUUUGUUCAUUCAUCUUCUUCCUGAAUUAAUUAUUGGUAUGUUUUGGGAUUUAGUGAUAGAAGCAAAUAAGUUUCAAUGAUCAUUAGGGGGUAGUAGCUUGCAUUAGCAGUGGAUAUAAUGAACUUUAGCUUAAGCAUGUACUCCACUGGAACUAUGAAUAAAGCAUUAGAUGAACUAACCAUUCUUAGAUGAGAGAGGAUAUGAACUUCAAGCAGCCACGCUUCUUGUUUUAUUUGACGACUUGAGACUUUUAGUGUUAAUGGUUUGCCAUCCAUAUGUAAUGAACAGCAAUAAAGAAGAAAAUGGAAAAGGACGUUGAUGAAGUCGGAAGUAUUGCUCGUUUCAUAAAGGGGAAACUCGAGGAGCUAGACAAAGAGGUAGUAGAGUCACUGCCUCUUUAGUCUUUUAUCCUUUUAACUUUGCAUUUGUUAAUUUAGUCUUUAUUCAAAAUGUUGUAGAACUUGGCAAAUAGACAAAAACCUGGGUGUGGGAAAGGAUCUGGUGUGGAUCGAUCAAGAACAUCGACCACACUGUAAGUAUUCUUGUUGUUAUCUCAGUCAUUAGUAUUUAAAGUUGGUAUGACUUUGAUGAUCUUUCUUCUUGUGCAACAGUUCCUUAAAGAAGAAGUUUAAAGACAAGAUGGCUGAGUUUCAGGUGAGUUAUGAAGAAAGAAAAAAAAAUAACUUUUUCAAGAUUAUAUUUAAAACUGUUAAUUCCUCAAAUUAAUAUUCUGACUUGUUGUUAUAGGUUCUAAGAGAGAACAUCCAACAAGAGUAUCGCGAGGUUGUUGACAGGCGUAUUUUUACAGGUCUGUAUGCUAUUGAUGUUAUAAGAUUUUGCUUUAUUUAUUUAUUCCUUUUACUUCUUCUUAUUGUUUCUGUGUGUUUCUUUGCAUUAGUAACUGGACAGCGAGCAGAUGAAGAUGUAAGUAAACUAUAGUCUGAGUUUUAUUGUAGUCUUCAGAAGCUUGAACAAAACCUCACUCCUUUGCUGUUUCUUGAUGUUCCAGACUAUUGAUGAGUUGAUUGAAACUGGAAACAGCGAACAAAUCUUCCAGAAAGCGAUUCAGGAGCAAGGAAGAGGACAGGUCUGAUCCUUCUUUUCAUGUUAUAAACAAUCCAAUAUCUUGAACAUGCAAUUUUUUUUUUCUCUCUCUCAGGUAAUGGACACCUUGGCGGAGAUUCAAGAACGUCAUGACGCUGUCAGAGACUUGGAAAAGAAACUUCUCGACUUACAACAAGUAUGUUUUGACUUCAUUAUUCUCUUACACUAAGAUGAAACACCUUUGAGCUGAGUUUUGAUGCAAUCCAUUAGUCAAAUUAAAAGCAUAUUCCCUUUUGUUGUUGCAGAUAUUCAUGGACAUGGCAGUUUUGGUUGAUGCGCAAGGAGAAAUGCUUGACAACAUUGAAUCUCAGGUAAGUGAGUACACACUCUUCAACGUGAAGGCGUUGUAAAUGGUAACUGAUGAUGAGUAUCUGUUGGUUUAGGUGUCAAAUGCUGUAGAUCACGUGCAAUCAGGGAACACAGCUCUUGUAAGAGCGAAGAGCUUACAGAAGAGCUCAAGAAAGUGGAUGUGUAUCGCAAUCAUCAUCCUACUCAUUGUUGUGGCAGUGAUCGUUGUUGGUGUUCUCAAGCCUUGGCAAAACAAGAACGCUUAAGAGGAAAACAGAAAUAACCAUCACUACGUUAUUAUGUAUACGGCUUUUCAUUGAAUGAGUGUUUGUGAAAUGUGUGUGUUUUACCAAGAUAUGAGAAAAAUGAAAAUUCUAUAUUCUUUUUUUUUUAAUUGGAACAAACAAAACCAAUUUUACUCUAUUACUUGUUCAAUUUCAUGAAGGAGAGGAUCUCGGAGGCAAUGUUAUUUGGUUAAUGAGAAACACAUUCUUGACUUUUAGAAACCAGUGUUCAAAAAAUCGUUUUAUAUUUUACAUUUAUAUAAAGAUAUAUUAGUUUUUUGGUUAAUUAUAAAAUUGUUUUAGUGAAUUAUUUUAUACAAAACAAAAACAAACAAAUUUGUUGAUUUGUAUUACAUUAUUACGCAAUUUAACAGAUUUAGAUUAAUUUAAAACGAUUUAACCGAAUUUAGAAUGAAUUAAACCGAUUUGAAUCAUGUGAAUCGGAUUUUUAAAAAGUUAUUUCGGUUAGAACCGUUACUUUCUCCAAUUUGUCCAUGGUACAAAUAUACAUACAAUGAAAGUAACUGAAGAUGAUUAUUAGUAUCUAAAGGCUAGUGAUUGCAAGUAGGCUCUAGCUUUAGCAGCCAUGGCUAGAGACUCCUCAUCUUGUCUUUCCUUUGCGUUACUCACAGCUGCAACAUAAGCUAACCUUGCGUCUUCCAAUCUCCUCAGUUCGGUUUCAUCUACAUCAUCCUAGUUUUAAUGUAAUUGCAACAACUUUAGAUAUGAUAUGACCAACAAAAGAAAGGGAAAAAAAAAAAGAAAGAUGAUUGUAGUUGUGUGUUGACUUACUAGAUAUGGAAGCUGGUCAAACUCAUAUGGGGUUGUUGCAUCAUAAUCAUCCCUGUCUAGUUUCUUGGAUUCUGUUUCGCCAGAGUUUUAAAUACUCGUGUAAACGAAGAGAUGUCUCCUUGAAGAGAAUCUAGAUUAUCUUCAAGCUUGGUUUCUCUUUCUCCUAAUGUCUUUGCUUCCCAUUGAGUCUUCUCACGAGCAGCUUGUCUGUCUGCAAGUUUGAUCUAGUGGAGACAGCGAGAUGAAGCUAUUAACAUCUGAAGAUCGUAUGAUAAAAAAAGGAGAAAUAUGAAGAAACACAAGAGAACAAAAAGUUGUUAGUCUUCUACACCACACUUUGAGCAGAGAGAUAGACAAAAGGGAAAAGAUUUUUUAAAAACAAAAUCUGAACUUUUUUCUCCAACGUUAAUCUGAAAAUACCAACUUUAAAUGACCAUUAUUCCCUCAUCAUCGACUGACUUUUGCUCUUCACUGGGUUUUAAAAGUGUAUUUUUGUUCCCUUGCGUUUACAUUUUAUAUUCUUUUCAAAUUUGGAACAUGUAUUACAAAUUCAUUUUGUUUAUUUUUUACAUGUCACCACCUAAACUCAGGGGCGGAUGCAUAGAAAUUUUUUGUUGGGGGCAUAAGUAAAAUUGUUCAAUGAAAAUAUUUUUGCUACAAACAAUGGGGGCAUGUUUAACUUAUUCAAUGUUUUACAUUAAAUUUUGAAAAGUUAUUGGGGUCAGAUGCCACCUUCUCACACAAAGCCACUGCCUAAACACAUGUAUGUGGCUCAGAACGAGGACAUGCAUUGUUUGUCUUUACGAGUUGCCUACGGAUGAUGCAGAUUUAUGACUGUAUGAGCAAAGGAAGAGCCAGAGAAGAACAAGUAGUACUCAUGGUUUGGUUAUGUAAACCCUCCAUAUAUGAGUUGUCUUUUGAAUAUUGAAUAAUAUUCGAUGUUGAUUGAGUCAAAGAAAUUUCUUAGUUGUUUAUGUUUUAUCCUGUAUUGCGUCUGAGCCAUGUGGUGAUGGUAUAGGCCUUAGGAGGCUUGCUUUUACAUAGAAGUAGAACAUAUCUCAAGUCCAUGACCUAUAAUCGUUUGUUUCAAAACCAUAUCUAUAUAAUAGUAUUUUAUAUACGUAUGUUGACUGUUGAGUAGGUGAGACUUUCACUUUUAACCCUACUAAACUGAAUUAGAAACCCUUUUAUGUGGAACCCAUAUACUUUUUCUAAACAUUCUAAACAUUCCCCGGAACAAAUCCUAACUAAAUCGAAUGAAAGCUGGGAAACAAAUUACUUUGGAAAGGUUUCAGAAUUGAUUUGACAAGUAUCAAACUAUCAAUUUGUAGUUGUGUAACUUACAGCACGAGGGUGCAUGUGAACAAAUGUCAAAAAAAAAAAAAAUUAGGGAGAAAAUGACAAAAAAAAAAGAAUUGCAGAGACAUACACGUGCAGAAGAUAUGUCCCCUAUGAUCACAAAACAUGUUUCCCUGUCUCUACCAAAGAUACAACCAAAGAUGAUGGGUUCUAGUUUUAUGUCUCAAUCUCUCUAUUGUAUACAACUCACUCUGUGUUCACGUGUGUGUUGUAUGUGGCUAUAGCCACAAACGAAAUCUAUGCAACGUUACUUUUUAUAUUAUUCUAAUUAAUGAUCAUAAUUCUUGUACCGGUGGAGAUCUUAGAAUUCAUUCAACUAUGAUGAAUAUCAAUGGAAUAUACAUUGGUUUGGUUUAUGAAAUCCCGAUAUAAAAAUCUAACUAGAUUUUAAUAUUAAAAUGUUUUAGUUUUGAAUUUAAAUAACUCGUCGAUCGGUUUUAGUUCACUGUAUAUCGAUGCAUUGAGUUGUUCGUUAUAAACUAGAUAAAAAUUAAAUUUAUAUGUUAUAAUUUAUAUGAAGCGUAAUUUUUGUUUAUAGAUUGUUAAAUUUUGCUCACGAAUGGCAUGCUAUGAUUGUUACAAAAAAAAGGCAUGCGAUGAUGUAGUAAACAAAACAUGCUAAAAUAUUUAGCUAAUUACAUCUUAUAAAUACUUUACUUCUGUGCUUAGCAACAUCAACACCAUUUUGGUGGGGAAAAAAUUGUUAUCAUAAAAUGUUAUGCAUAUAUUUUUAGUGACUAGCUAGUACAAAAAUUAAUAUAUAGAGAGAGAAUAGAGACAAAUAUAUAGUAAGAUGGCAUAUAUGUAUUUCCAUAAUGGGGUACUAGCUAGCUAUAUAUGGUGACCAUAAAGAAUCAUGCAUUGAUGUACAUCGCAAAAGACCCAAGCUAUCAUCAUCAUUAUCACCAUAUAUAGCCACUAUCAUCGUCACCUUCAUCACUGUGUUAGUACUAUGUUUUCGUUGUAAAUUGUUUAACACUUCUCUAGAGUAUCAACUAAAUAGGCUACUUAUAGUGGAUAAUUAGCAAAUCAUCAGGAAGAAGAUACUUUUCCAUCAUUAAAACAAAAACGUAAACAAAGGACAUAGCAUUUGAUCAUGUAAAAUGAAAACAUUGGAACAUAAAUUAAAUAACAUAAAGUCAAUAAAUUCAAACAAACCCUUGUCUAACUGCACCAACGUAGCUAUGAACUGCACUGUAGCUAUCAUUACCAUCAUCGUGAUUAUAAACAUCAUCAUUAUCAUAAGCAUCGUCAUCAUGAUUGUUGUUGUGAACCCUAGUCUCCACCAAAACCAUCUCUUCAUUAGCCUUCUUCUUUUUCUUUAUUGAGUUUUGCUCCUCAGUAUCUUGAGGAAGUUUGAGAGUUGAUGUCGCUUCCAUGGGACCAGAAGAUGCAUCAGAGUCCAUUGACUCACCACCAUCGCUAUCCUCGUCAUCACCAUCUUCAUAGUAACAGUCGUCAUCAGGAUCAUGAGAAUGUGAGGCUAAAUACAUUGUCCAUCCAGAUUCACAGCUGCGAGAAACGUCUUCGGUUCCAAAGCUCUUUCCAGACUCCAUUUGUAUACAAUUACAACUCUUUUUAGUGGUCUAUAUAGAAGUGAACCAGAAGAAGCAACAAAGAGACCCGACAAAAGAGACCCACUAGAAAGUAAAAACCCUAAAAGCGAGAGAGAAACCACGAGAAGGUGAGAUAUUAAGUAUAAACAAUCUAACAAGCAAGUAUGUGUGUUUGUGUCUCUCUCUCUCUAUAUAUAUAUACAUAAAUGUAAGUGCGUAUACAUAUAGCGUGUAUGUGUGAAGUGUAUGUAUGUGCAUUUGAUGAUAAAAGACAAGAUAAGGAGUUUCUUGAAGAAAAAAAAAUUGGAAAAGGGGAAUAUUCUUCCAAGAAAUAGAGAAAAAUGAAAAUUAUUUGAUUAUUUUUGGGGAAAUUAGAAGAUAAUUAGAGGCUGACUUUUAUAGAUAAGAGGAUGAGUUCAUUGAGUUGGGUGGAAGGAUAGAGAUGGACAAGAGGAUGUAUUUACAACACCUGAGCAUUGCUAUUUAUCUCUCAUCUUCUUUCUGACCAAAUAACAGCUCAUAACCUAAAUUUUAUAUACACAAAUUAAAUAAUACAAGACAAACAUGAAACAUACACAUCCAAUAAUUAAUUUUCAAUGUAUAAUUUUUUUAACAUUUAAUAAUAAAAUUAAAGCUUGAAGACACAAAAAAAAAAUUUGGUGUACCAUACUUUUAAUUAUCAAACACAAAUCAACCCAUAUAUAGUUUCGAAAUAUUGCUAAAUACAUGGGUUAGUCUAGAUAUAAAACCUAAAAUAUUUUACUCAAGCUAACUAAAUUCUCAAAAAACUAUUUUACUCAAUCUAAAUUUGGUGCAUAUGGAUCGGUAAUUUUAUAUGUAAUUACCAUGACUCACCUAAUCAAAAACUAUUUUAUCUCUAACCAUGGAAAAGCAACCAGUGAAUAUUGACCGGUAUUUUUAUAUAUAGCCAUGACCCAAUAUUGAUUAGGUCAUGGAUAUAAGAGAAGUGAAAACCAUGAUUCAACUAAUCAAAAACUAUUUUACUCAAGCUAGCUAAAUUACCAUAUAUUUUUAUAAUCGUGGCUCUUGUCAUCCAUGUGUACUCUGGUAGAAUUAAAGCUUUAAUAAGAAUUUGAACACCAAGACACCCUUUGAUAAGAAAACCUCAGCAAGAAUUGAAUUAAGAAAACAAAAUAUGAGAGAGAUAGAUAGAUAGAGAGGGCCAUAAAUGGAGAGAGUUGAUGAGAACAGCAAGACUCCAGCUAGAAGCCGUGAAGGAGAGAAAGUGAAGUCUCUUAUCUCGCAGAGGUAGUGGUAUCUUUUUAAUUAAUGCAAUAACUCUAAACGUCAUAUCUUAUAAACAAGGUAAUUUUAGGUGUCAUUGAGUUUGUAAUACUGCAAAUUAGCCUUUCACAUAUAGAAAAUAUGAUGUAAUAUAGAGUUUAUAAUGAUAAUUAAUUCAUUUAUUUUUGUCGACAAAGUUAAAUGCAUAUUCUUUCUACACACAAAAAAGUGUACUGUAAAUAAGGAGUGGAAGAUUUACAUCAAUGAUUUGCGAUCAUAUACAAAACGAGAGCAUAGUAUGUACACAUACAAUGUACGAAUACUAAUCAAUGCUAUUCUAUAUUUUAACAUGAAAGUGUAGAGGCAACACUUAUAACGAAGGGAAGUGUAAGGAAAGAAUGUUUCCAAGCUUUUUUUUAUUAUGUUUCCAUUUUUGCAAUCACGAAUUGAAUCAAUAUGGUUGGGGAAGAAAAAAUAUAAUUUAAAGUUAAUAAAAGAAUAAUUAUAAUCUGGUGAGAAAAAUAUUGGAAAAUGUGUAAUGUAUACAUUAAAUAAAGAGUAAUAAAGAUUAUACUAUCCUUGUGACUUGCGCUGUUCUGUCCUUCUUUAAUUUACUGAUGUUAAAGUCCUUUCUCUUCCUCAAAAAGUUCAAACAUCUUUCGCUUGCUUUGUCACAACAGCAAAUUAAUAUAACAUGCAGAAAUUUACCUAUAUCAGGAUUUAUUUAAUUCCAUUACUUCUUCACAUGCAUAUUUAGGAUUGCAGCCUUACAGGCCAUCACUCUAAUUUCAGUUCAUGAUCAUGUUGUGAUGUUGAAGAAUUAUGGUCUUAAUCAGAUUUGAUAAAAGAAAAAGAGGAUACAAGGUCAAUUAAAUAUAUGACUAUAACUUUACAAAUAUUACUAUAUUACUUCAAAAUGAUAUUUAAUAGGAAUAAAAUGAUCAUUGGAGUUUACAAGAGGUACUAAUAUUGCUAAAUAAUUGUGUAAUUUUUCUUUCAACUGAGUUGCGGAAUGUUAAAACUUAAAACAGCUUUUACAACGCUCCUGUUAAUUGUUAUUACUAACAAAAAAAAAUCGUUCAUAGUUUUUUUUUGGGUGUAAAUGUUAAGACGUUCAUAUAGUUAUUAUAAUCAUAAGAAAUUUGUGUAGUUACUAUAUAAAUUAUGUCGUCGCAUACGUAUUUUAUAAAACGAUCAAUGUUAUUGUAUUGGUGAACGCUGAAAAUAUUCUGAAUAAUGUUAUAGCUAAACCUAAAUGUCUGAAUUUCUUUAUAGUUUUGUCACUGAUAUUAGAUGCGAUUUUGUUUUGUUGGUUGGAUAUUUAAAGUUUCUGAAAAUGGAACUAUAGAGAGGUGUAGGUAUAAGUGUAUGAUCAUGAUUUUGGUUGUGGGGAACUGGGGAACUGUAGAUCUUUUCACUUUAAGAGUUACAGAAGACAGAAGUUACGUUUAAAAUAAAUAGCGAUUAGACAUUUAUCUUCCUGAAAAUUGACUUACGUUUUUUAUUUCUUUUGUUUCUUUGAAGUGACUCAAAUCUGUAAAAGUAAAAAGGUCAUACAAUGAUAUAUUUUCUCAAUAUAUAUUCAUAUAUAAGGAAAUAUGUAUUACAUUUUUUUAAAUGGAAUAACUCUUUCAACAACAUGUUAUCAGUAUCUACGGCUAUGCAUUUAUGCGUACCACUGUACCUAGUGAACAAUCCUUUAUGCAUAUCUUAAAAUGCACGAUGGCCUACACACUUUAUAUUAUUUAUACAUACAUGCAUUAUAUGACAACCAAAGAUCAACCGAUCAAGUUGUUAGUUUUGUAAAAAGAACAUCAACUUGUGUGUUCUCCUUGCACUGGUUGAGAAUCUUGAGACUAAUGCAUAAAAAUAUAUGGGGAAAUGAUUUGUACCUAAACAAAGUGGUAACGAUUUUUAGAAAUUAAUAUUAACAAUUAAAAAGUACAUAUAAUUACACAAUGUUUGUCAAAAAAAAAAAAUUACACAAUGUAACAAGACCUUUCUCUUAAUCAGUUAACAGUUUCGUUGGAUAACAAGAAUACGGUGUGACAUUGAUUCACGACAGAAGAAAAAAAAAGUCAUGUCUUUAAUAUUAAAACAUAUUAAGAAAUCUGUCUGAUAAAAUAACAUUAUUUUAAAAUGAAGUCUUACAAAUAGAACAAACGAAAAAUUUAAUGUAUUUUAAUAUGUAUCUAAUAUAGGAUCUUUCAAAAUAGCUAAACAUAUAAAUAAAAAGAAAAAGCAAUGUAUAUUAAAUCCUUUUUUUUUUAACUCUUUAGAUUAUACCACCGGAGUGUGAUGAAUCAUUUGGUGAACUUUGCGAUCAAUUUGUCAACGUGGAUGAUGAUAUCGUCAAUGCGAGGUCGAACCGCAGCCUGAGGUUGCAGCAUCCAAGUCACGAACUGGUGAAGAGCUUCAGGAUAAGAAGCCUUUGGUCCAGCCUUUGGCCAUUUGAUCUUAGCGUUCACGAUUGCGAGCUGAAGACUUCCAUCAGAUUCUUCAAGUACAUAUUCAAACGGAGAGACACCGUACCUGCAAAAACCACAAAAUGAAUAUCCAAAACAAAAACUCUUAUUUAGUGUAAGAGGGAUGAUAAUCGUAUUGUACAUUAUUGCGUAUAGUGUGCAGCCUAGUGACCAUAUGUCUGUUCUCUCAUCAAUAUCAGCAUGGCUUGGGCAAUCCCAGAGCUCGGGAGCUCUGAACGGUGCUGAAGAAUGUUCAGCUGUCCAUUCCUAUUAAAGUCGAGAGAACAUGAAGCAUAUUCCCAAGUUCAUGAUUAAUAAGACAUGGAAUAUAUAUAAACAAUACAGAGUAGUAGUAUGAAUAAGGGAUGGAUAUAGAUAGGGACCUGUAACUGUAAGGCCUCUUGACGGGAGCGGAUUUGCUUCCGUGCUGGACGAGCACUCCCAAAGUCCAUCAAAAUGGCAAGAGGAGUCUGUCCUUUUCUACGCGUUAACAGCACGUUUCCAGGUUUGACAUCGUUGUGAGCAUAUGGUGGCUCCAGAGAGUGCAUGUGUUUGAGUCCAUCACAAAGCUGCAGUGGAAUAGCUCUAGGUAAUCAAAACACUUGCAAUUCACGACUAAUCAUUCAAUAAAUCUUAUACUUCUAGUCACACAAUCAAUCACAUGGUUCUAAAUAUAUACUACAACAGCAUAACGUAAUAGAUAGUUUAGAAACUAACAAGCUAGGUAACAAAAACUAAAUAUGGAUUUAAAAAGAGCGGUUGAUACCUGACGAAAUAUUUGCAAGACAUCAGUUGUUGAGAAAGUUUCCUUUUUAGCCUUCAUCGCUGUGGAAUUAUCCAGCAAGGUUCCAUCCAGGUGAACUGGAAAUAGCAAGAAGGCCUCGUGUUUCCCAGCUCCCUCUUGACCGCCCUAAACAGAUCAAAAGCAACACACUUUUCUUAACUAGACUUCGCACAAGAAAACUACAAAGAAAGUUAUUCAACCAAGUUCCAGAGCAGAGCUUAUCCACCUUAACAGGAAUAAUGGCAUGGUCAAGGAGAGGAAGCAGAUUAGGGUGGCUGAACAAGGACGAAACACGAAUCUCCUCCCGCACAAGUUCCAGCUGCUCCUUGUUCUGAAUUAGAACUUUCUUCAUCGCAUAAGUUCCAUCAUCUACAAUGAAAAUCACAUAUAGGAAAAAUAAACCUUAGUCAUGAACAAAUGAACAAAUGACAAACCAAUCUCAAGAAUCAAAAGAUUCAAAUCCAAAUUAUAUGAAAAUGGAUUCACUGUGAUCACUCUGUUUCGCAAAUCAUCCAAAUUCAACUGCAGAAUCUCAGAUUCACCACGGAUCAAACAACUUACACAAGAUCGAAAUCAGAUUCAACGAUUCCGAGUCAAAUCUAUAUGAAAGUGGAUUCACUGUAAUGCCUAUCAUCUAUAAUCAACUGCAUAAUCUCAAAUGCACCACGGAUCUCACUAUACACAAGAUCGAAACAAGAUCCAACGAUUCCGAGCCUAAACCAAGCACAUACGAUCUCUACAUUGAUUCAAUUUGAUUCCUAUAACAAUCUCUAGCUGACACGAACGAUCUCUAUCAGAUCCAAUCGAUAUAACAACGCAGAUAAAGGAAUAUCAAAUCAUCAAUCACGAUCCAGAGAGAAAUGAUCAGUAGCAGUACUAACCGGAGAGAUGAGCUGGAUCCUUGACUUUCGACGCCAAACCGCCACCGGACGAAGCGUCGGCGACGAUCUCCUUAACCAGAAACACGAACGCGAAGCCGCCUUCGCCGAGCUGCCUCACGAUCCUGAAACGGUUCUCAUUGAUCCACACGUCGCCUCCGCCGGAGUCGUAAAGCGCGUUCAAUCCCGAAAACGAACAGCCCAUACUUGAUUCGUUUGGAUCUGGUGAAGAUUUACACAAUUCGGAGGAUCCUUCAGAUUCGCAUUCUCCAGAUCUCGAGUUUUGGAGGUGAAGCGUUCAUGUCAGCUUAUACGAGCAGUUUUCACUCAAUUUAUUAAUUGAAUAAUUAAUUAGUUGCAGUUUAGCUAAUUGGUUCGGUUAAAAACCACUAAUCUCGAGAGGAAUGGUUUGAUAAGAUUAAUAGGUUCAACCGUUAAACCGAUCAAAUACAUUAAUUUUUAGUCAACGAUUUACAAAAACCCGAUCCAUAAAUUGUGAUCGUAAUUGCCUUACAAUCAGUGUUUUUAAAACCGGACCGAAAGUUCUGAACCGGAUAAUUUUUGAGUCACGGUUUAAUAUGGUUCGAUCGGAUCUAAUCUGGUUUAAUAAUCUAGUUUAAUAUAUUUUUAGUGUGUAGAUUUAAUAAUUAAAAUAUAAAUGAAUUUAAAACAUAAAAAUUUAUAAAUAUAAACUAGUUUUAUGUUUAUAUGCAUAAUUUAGAGAUUUUUGAUAGUUUUAAUGGUUUUUAUCAGUUUAAUAACUCUGAAAUCUAAUCUAACGUAAUCAGUUUAUGGUCAAACUAAUUAUUAGAUUUAAUCCGGCUAUAAGACGGUUCAUGAUCAAAUCCUGAUCAACUAUAGGAUCGGUCUGGUUUUAACAAUACUGAUUGGGCCUUAACACAGUUUCUUUUUGAUGUUUUUGCACCUAGCAAAUAGAAUAAGUAUUAUCUUUGGGCCUUAAUACUGUUUCUUUAUGGAUGUUUUGGCAGCUGGCGACUAGAAUAUAGAAUUAUUAUCCCAGGCUUUAAUAUCUCAUCAUAUUCAUUAAGCAACAAAACCACAGACACAAACACAAACACAUGUUCUUUGAUACUAGUUCCUAAUCAAUCAAAUUACAGAAGUUGAAAGCUCUUUAACAUCGUCAGCGACUUGUUCGUAGUCUGACUUCAACUUUUGGAGAUCUUCUGCACUUAGCUCUCCUUUAGCCGGUUUAAGCAUGACCAAAACACAGCAAGUUGGUCGUUUAGUGGCACCGGCUUGGGCAAGAUCCUGCAUUGCACAAAACAUACUUAGACCUGAGACAAAAGCCAUAAGACUAUAGAAUCUACAGUUUAAGGAAGAACAUUAAACUUACUUCUUUAGAUGGUACGUAGACGUAAGGAAUGCCAGCUUCCUCACACAAGAUUGGAACAUGGGUGAUAACAUCAAUGGGAGAAAUGUUUCCAGCUAUAACACAUAUUCUGCACAAAGAACAACAAUCCAUUACAACACAAACCAGAGGAACAACAAUCUAUUGGUACAACAACACAAAUCAUAGGUACAAAAAGAUGCAUCAAAGAACCUAAACAUACAAGAGAAUGUUGGUUUAAACCAGGCCCGCAAAUCAAAGAAGUUUUCAGAGAGGGCACAGACAUUUCAAACACCAUGAUUCAGUUUCCGUGUACAGUACCAUGCUACAUUCAUUAUAUUUUAAUCCAGAGCAUCGGCUUAAUUGUACACGGAUCACACAUAAACAUAAAGAACAAGCCAAUGAUCAUCAAGAACACAAAAACCAAAUUGCCAAACAUAAAUCACAAGCAAAAACAAACGAGUGUGGAUAUCAACCAGGCCCUCUAAUCAAAGAAAAAACUCAGAGAGGGCAGACAUGUCAAUCCGCAGCAAAGCUCAGUUUACGUGCACAGUACCAUGCUACCUUCAUCUAGUUCAUCCAGAGCAUCGGCUUAAUUGUACACGAAUCAUAUAAAGACAAACCAUACAUUUUUCAAACACUUCAACGUAAACACACAACCAUACGCAAAAUUAAACAGAUAUACUAAUAGAAAUCAACCAUAGUUUUCAAUUAAUGAUAAAAAUGUGGAUCUAAACCAGGCCGUCUAAUCAUAUAUUAAAUCAGAGAUGGCAGACAUGUCGAUCCAUAGUUCACUUUUCGUGUACAGUACCAUGCUACAUUCAUUAUUUAUAAUCCAGAGCAUCGGCUUAAUUAUACACGGAUUAGACAUUAUAACAUAUUCAAUUACAGUACAUUUUCAGACAGCAUUGUACUAACAAAUAAACAAGACAGAGAUAUGUAAUGUGGAUCUAAACCAGGCCGUCUAAUCAUAUAUUAAACUCAGAGAUGGCAGACAUGUCGAUCAAUAAAUCACUUUUCGUAUACAGUACCAUGCUACAUCGGCUUAGUUGUACACGGAUCACACUAUAACAUUAUCAUGACGCAUUCAACACGCAAGAGAUUACAUUUAAAAAUGAAUACUAACCCUUUCUGGCCACGUCUGAUGCUCUUCACCACUUCCUUAACGCCUCUCUUCAAGCAUUUCUUACCAGCAGCUGUUGACAGUGAACAGAACAAUAAACAUCAGACAAAGCUAACAGUAGAAGUUGGAUUCGGAUUGGUACCUUUUUGAAUGAGUUUGAAAGUCCUCUUCUGGAGCUUCUUUCCGGCGAGAGGUUUAGCUAUGGGAGCGAGGGAGAUGACCUUCUUCUUCUCCUUUUGGAUCGACUUCUCUGCUUCUGUAUCGCUUCCCAUGUUUUUAGCUAUAACAAGCAAUAUGAAAUGAGUAAAGAGUGGCGGAAACAAGUAGGGUUUAAGGGUUUUAUAGAUGAGUAGAAGAAAACAAAAUUAUUGGAAAACCCUAAAUUCACAUGGGCUUGAAAAGUAAAGUGUAUGUUGAUUAAAUUAUAUGGGCUGAUUAUUGGGCCUUGAUACAGAAUGUUUGUAUCUUUUCUAUCUUUUACAUUUCACUCCCUAAAGUUGACAGUAUUUAGAAAUAUCACAUGUAAUUCCGUUACAUUUGACUUUUUUCAUUCUUUUUUUUUUUCUGGUAUGCAACUAUUUAGAGGAAUAAAAGGUAGGAUGAAAUGUAGAUGAGAGGGAAUAGUAGUUUUUCACUCAUCCUUUACAAAAUGGUUCAUACUUCCAUCCAAUUUUUAGUCUAGUGAUACAUCUAUUUGAUUGGUAAGUAAGUGAGAUGAAUAUGAAAAUUGCAUAACAUUAAACGUUUGACUAACAAACAUUCUUUAGUAGAAUUGAAUUUUCACACAAGUCACAUUAAUAAUAAUGUACAAAUCUUAUGAAGAUGCAAAACAAGAUAGCAGAAAUCAGAAAAAGAGAACACCAUUCUCCCCCACCUCUUCUGUUUACAAGGUAGAAACCUAUUUACUAUAAAAGAACCACCUCAGAAGCCUGGCGCCACUAACACUUUUCAGAGUGAAUUUGAUUCUUGCUGAUGAACAUUUUUUACACCAAAUCAGCUCUCAACAGUAGCUACGCUUCAUCAACAAGAACUUACUGCCAUGGCUUCAAAUGGGCAUUCUGAUCACUGCAAUUUGAUUCACUAGAAGAAAAAAGAUCAACCAAAUAGGAGAGAAACUAAGAUAUAGAUGCCAUAAACAAGGGUUCACAAUAUUUUAUGAAGUAAUGAUGAAAUAAAAAGCAUUCAUCACUUUAUGAAACAAAUAGAUUGGAUCAUGCAUAAUAACACCGUCAGGUUGGAAAAGGAACAAAGCUACAAGAAAAUAUUGUAUGCGCUAAAAGAGCUGAAGUGGAGAAUCCAUGCACACUUUUUUAUACAUGGAACCAAAACAGAAAACAAUAUCAUAGGACCGUUGUUCGGUCAGAGUCAGACCAAGAAAGGAACCUACAAGAUGAAUCAGCAUAAGUAAUACCAAGAUUCUUCCCUCCCGAAAGAAUCCUAAGUUUGCUUUUUGUUAUUUUAGCAAACUCUUGAUCCAUGGUAGUAGUAAGUGAAAGCAAAAGGCAUAUCAGUCAACUAAAAACAUAUAUGUAUCCUCAGUUAGCAAACAAACAAAAAUAAUGGGAAACUAAACAGACUAUUACCAGAAACAGUAUUCAAUGUAUCUAUGAUCCUAUGAACUCAAAAACAAGGAUUCAAAAGUGAUUGACUAGUGAAGAGGCAACCGCUGGAUGCAGAGGUUUAUCGAUCUGUUCAUGCUUUUAAUCUCUUUCCAACAACAACAAACAACCAAAAAAAAAUCCACAGGAAGAGAUCGAUGAACCGCUGCCUCCAGCGACUUUCACUCUUUUAAUUAAAUUGAAUUAGAAAAAGAAAAGCAAAAAGGAAAACUAGUUUCCCGAUUUGGAGCAAGCAAGCAAUAAAUCUCAGAUCUACAAAAAAAAAUCAACAGGCACCAUAAGUAGUAGUAGUAGCUGGAUGUUCACUGCCUCCACCAAUCAAAAAAAACGCAAAAAAAAAAAACAAAAAAACAACAAUAACGUAAAGCACAUGCAUCUGCAGGUAAACUGGGACAAAGAGGAAUCUGAGAUUUGGAGUACAAGUACAAAUCUAUCAAACCACACAGAGAAAACAUAAAGUAGGGAACAGAGUAAUGAAGUUUGAAUCAGUCAUUUGAUUUUUAUUUUUUAAUUAGCCUAUUGGCGCACAUAUCGCCUCACUCUCAGCUGGUUACAUCACGGAUCACAUUAUAAAAAUAUAACAGGACAAUCAUUACUUAGUUUGUGUUUUGUGGUAGUGCUGACUGUUGACUUUGUUUUGGAUCAGCGUGGGCCUACUAAAUAAGUAAAGUUCAGUAAAAAGCCCAAUUAAUAAUACAAUCUUCUAUCUAGUGUUAUUCAUGGAACAAGUAAUCUACCGUUAAGUUUUAUUAUCGUUUUUAAAUUGCGAUUCUGUAGAGAGAUAAAAACGAUGGAUCUAGUUGGAAAAUCUAAGGAAGAUGCUUCGCUUCCUAAAGGUAAACGUUUGUUAAUUUCAAGGAUUGAAUUGAAUGCUAAACAAUAUGUUAUGUUCUCUUGUGAUGUUUCUCAGCUACAAUGACUAAAAUUAUUAAGGAGAUGUUACCAGCAGAUGUUCGCGUUGCUAGAGAUGCUCAGGAUCUUCUCAUCGAGUGCUGUGUCGGUAAUAAGAUGAUCACUCUUUUGAUUUUUUCUCUUUGUCAUUAGGUGUAAUGUAGCUGAUCAUUAGAAAUGUUGUUGGUCAAUGUGUUUAUGGCAGAGUUUAUAAACCUUAUAUCGUCAGAGUCUAAUGAAGUAUGUAACAAAGAGGAUAAACGAACGAUCGCGCCUGAGCAUGUACUCAAAGCGCUUCAGGUUCUUGGAUUUGGGGAGUACGUUGAAGAAGUCUACUCUGCUUAUGAGCAACAUAAAUACGAAACCAUGGUUAGAUGAUGAUCUAUCACGCUCAUUACUUUUAAGUUCCAGACCAUAAAAUUAAAGAGGCAAGUAACUGGUGUUCCUGCGUUUUUGCAAAUUGUGCAGCAAGAUUCACAGAGGAGUGUGAAGAUGAACACAGGAGCAGAGAUGACUGAAGAGGAAGCAGCAACGGAACAGCAGAGAAUGUUUGCAGAAGCUCGAGCUAGAAUGAAUGGAGGUGGUGUUUCUGUUCCGCAACCAGAGCAGCAACUAGAUACCCAACAGUCAAAUCUACAAAACUAAUCAAGAAGGGGGAAUACUUCUUUAACAUUUUUUUUUCCGUAGCAUUUCUCUGUAAAGUGCAAAGAUUCGUCUUCUUGGUGUUGAUAAGCUCUUUACAUUUUAACCUUAGAUUUGUGUUUUUUUUUAAAAAUCUAAAAUCGCUUGGGUGAUUGAUUCAGAUGUAAUUAGUAAGCAUUGUCUUGUUUCUUUGCAACUGUCGUUUCCAGAUCCUAGCUCCCUAGUCUAUAUGUUUAUUAUAACUUUAUUGUUCUAAAUGCCACAUCUCGAUUUCAAUGUUGGGCAUCUAAUCUGAUGUGAUACUACAUAUGUUGAUAGAAUUUGAAGCGAAAAUAAUACGUGAAAACCCCAAUCAAAAUUUUUUUUUCUGUCCAUUAUUCUAAUUAGGCCUCAAAAAGUGGGAAAAGUGUCAAUUUCGACCCAAACUAUUUCAGUCGUGCCAAAUACGACCCGAACAAUUGAUCAGUGCCAAAUACGACCUCAACUCAAUUAUAAUUCAAAAAAACUACCCGAACUUCUUAAAACGUGCCUAAAUCUACAUUGACUCUAACAGAAGUUAGUCAACCGUUAACAAGAUAAAACGACGUCGUUUGAUAUACGAGGAAUUUUUAAAAAAAAUACAUAUAUCAAAACAACAUCGUCUUAUCUUUGUUAAAAGUUGAUUAACUUCUGUUAGAGUUAAUGUAGAUUUAGACACGUUUUAGAAAAAAAUUGGAUAAUUUUUUUUUAAAUUAUAAUUGAGUUGAGGUCGUUUUUGGCACUGACCAUUUGUUCGGGUCUUAUUUGGCACGAUUCAGAGUGUUGGGGUCGAAAUUGGCACUUUUCCUCGUAUAUCAAACGACGUCGUUUUAUCUUGUUAACGGUUGACUAACUUCUGUUAGAGUCAAUGUAGAUUUAGGCACGUUUUAAGAAGUUCGGGUAGUUUUUUUGAAUUAUAAUUGAGUUGAGGUCGUAUUUGGCACUGAUCAAUUGUUCGGGUCGUAUUUGGCACGACUGAAAUAGUUUUGGUCGAAAUUGGCACUUUUCCCUCAAAAAGUAGCCUGAAUCAACUCUCAAAAUCGUUAAAAAGAAUGGAGAUGCGGGGUAUCGAUCCCCGUACCUCUCGCAUGCUAAGCGAGCGCUCUACCAUCUGAGCUACAUCCCCGUUGACAAAGACUACCAUCGAAAAUUUUUAAUGCUUGUGAGCUACACAGUUCAACACUCUAUUUGCCAUUUGGCAUGGUUCUCAUCGUUCUCAACAUCCAACCGAACCGUACCAUUAACUCAAGAAACCUUAUACAGGUUCCUAAUGGAUUGUGGUUUAUUUAAUAGUUGGUUUAAUUUUGGUUAGGCAAAGAAGAAUGGAUUUGAUUAACUCUCCCUCCCUCCUUGGCCGACAUUAUACAUGCUUUAUUUUGUCAAACAUACAGACCCGAUUUUUGACUUUAGAACCAGCUAUUUUAUCCAGUGGUGGGAUCAAUGCAGAUAAUUUGGCAUUGACCGAAUCAGACUCACACUGUUGAUAAUCUUAUUAUUCUUUUCCAACACUUUAUUAUAAACAUUUGUUACUAUAAAAACAGUGGUUUACAUGACUUUGAAAAUAGAAUGAAAACCAAUAAUCUCUAGUCCACGAGUUUCGUCAUUUUCCUCACCGUUCGAUUUUUUGUUUCCACAAGCUGAUGUUUGAAUUGUGAUCAAAUCUAGUUUCGGAUAGCUAGAGAGAUUAGAUUACUAUGUUUAUGGAUCGUCGAGAGAGAAGGCUUUCUAAUCGCAACGGCACUCCUCCUGAAUACACCAACGGAAAAUUCCGCGACGAUAAAAAUGGUUACGGUGGAGGCUCCUUCUUUGAUCCUUCUAGUUCGAACAUCCUUCGCAUCCCGUCUCCGACUUCUUCUUCUCCUCCGCGUUCCAGCUCCCCUGACCGUGGCUACAUCGAGCACCGCGUCUCCAAGUUCGAUACUCUCGCCGGCGUUGCCAUCAAAUACGGCGUUGAGGUUAAAAAUAAAAAUUAUAUGUUUUGACUUAAUAUUGCGUUAUUUUAAUUAGAGACAAAAAGGUAGAAAUUAACUUUUAAUUGUACUGGUAAAAAAGCCAUUUUUUAUUUAGAUUGAGGCAUGAUGAAGAACACGUGAGGAAUUAAAGUGUUAUUUGAUGUUCUGUUUUUUUUUAUGUUCUGUUUUUUUUGAUGUUUUUGAUGUAUGAUUAAGAACACGUGAGGACCGCGUCUCCAUGUUAUGCUUUUUGAUGUUCUGUUUUUUUUUUUGUGUGUUUGUUGUUAAAAUGCUCUGCUUUCACGUUGGAGAUGUGAAAAAGAUGAAUGGGCUUGUUAUUUUUUAUUUUCGAACAUUUUGAAUUUCUUUUUUAUGUUUGUUGUUAAAAUGCUCUGCUUUCAGGUUGGAGAUGUUAAGAAGAUGAAUGGGCUUGUUACUGAUCUUCAAAUGUUUGCUCUCAAGUCUCUCCGGAUCCCUUUACCUGGAAGACAUCCUCCUUCUCCUUGUUGAUCUAUCGGCUCCUUACACCAUGGGUGGGUACUUAACCACAUCUUUACCUUGCACCAAGUUACAGCUUUGAUAUAAGAGGUGCCGGUCUUUCACAAAGCCGGAUGAAACGUUCGCUUAAAACUCCCAAAUUUUAAGAAAAAAAUACAUAGACAUAAGUCUCCAAAUUUAUAAAAAAGCUCCCAAAAAAUACAUAGACAUAAGUCUCCAAAUUUUUAUUGAAAUUUUACCCAAAAUCUCAGGCCGGCUGAAAAUGAAAAUUAUAGACAUGGUCUUGUUAUUGCAGAGUAGUUUACAUUACCCAAGCUUUAUUUUUUGAACUGGUUGUGUUGGACUGAAGCUGCUGCAUGUUCAUUAUCAAAGUGAUCCUCUUGGUUCUAAUAUUUGGAAUCUUUAUUUACAGAGAGGGAUGUUCAUGCCACGAACUGGAACCACAAAACGAUACCAACAGCGACGCGUUUGACUCAUUCCAGUCUCUGAGGUUGAAAUCUUCAAAGAAGAAAGGCUACUACGCGCUAAAACCACCAAUCAGAACAGUUUCUGUAGGAGGAAGCUUAGAGAUGGGUACUUACAAGAAAGAAAGCAACGGUGAUAGUCAAUACCUCAGACCUUUCCCAUCCACAAACACUCCCUUAAACCACCACAGGAAGUCCAGAAGCUUAGUCAAUGCACUUCUCGAAGAGUUCAACCAAUCAUCUCAAGAACCGAGUUCCAAUAAGUUUAUGAGAAGGCGACAAAAGUCCGAAGCCGACUUUACAUCCCGGACUCCAGAGCUUAUGUUGAAAGAAGAGAACACUAGCAGCAGCAACGGCGGGUUCUUAUCAUCAGUAGGAGGGAAAGGUUUAGCUUUGAGAUCAAAAGCCUCGAGUAGAACUAGUCUAUCAUCAGCAGAGUCUGAGACUUGUAGUUUCAAUCCAGUACCAAUGAACUUGAUGGAUGCUCCAGUUUCAGACAGCUUUGCCAGUGUAAGAAAAUCUUCAAGUGCAUCGAGUUUACAAGAUCCAGACGGUAACAGCAAUAACGGUUCAUCGUCACUGUCUCUAUGGUCGACUUCUACACCUGCUGCUAUUACAAGCUCAAUCUUUGAUGGGUUGCCUAAGCCUUUAACAGGGAGGAGAAACAAAACGGCUAUGGACUAAAGUAAAAUGGUCAGUUUCUCUUUUAUUUAAUUGUCACAUUCUUUUUGUUGAAACUAUACAAAUCAAAAGUAGAAGAAGCUGUGUUUAGGCCUUAGUGCGGAGUAAAUAGAAGUAAAGAGAGUAUAGAACAUCUGAAGUUGUGAUGGUGAAUGUAAUACUUUUUUUAAUUAUAAUGAGCAUACAAAAAAACAAUCAAAACAAGAAGGUUACCUUUCUCUCUCAAAUCAAAAAAGUUACUAACAGAUUUAGGAAGAAGAAGAAAAGGGAUCUAUGAUGUUGGAAAACUCCUCUAGCCUAGUCUCUCUGUCCAUGUCACAGCCCUUCUUCCUCUUCUUUAACUGGCUUAGUUGCUGAAGAAGCCUGGACCAGCACGGGAAACUUUUAAUGUGAGAGCUCUGUUGCUAAAAUUUACUUCGCAAAUAAUAGUAUAGAUAUACACAAAUAUAACUUACUUCUCGACCAAGAAUUUGUCGGUUGAUUCUGUAGAUAAUAUGCUAGUAAACAAGUUGCAAACAAGACAUCAGAAUCCAUAAAUAUUUACAUUAGAAAAGAAAAAAAAUUCUAAAUUAACUUUAAGUAAAUAUACUCCUUAUACUCACGGGAGACCUAUAAAAGCACCAUUAACUCUAGCACCCCAAAUGAGAUGUUUAUUUUUUUUUAAUUUUUUUUAGUUUUUUGUCUGAUUUAAAAAAAAACAAAUAUUAAAACGAACCAAUCGCGCACCGCCACGUGUCAGUGGAGCCCGCAAAACAGUACAAGACUAAUAAAGGCUCGUGCAGGGACGCUAACUUUUUUUUUUUGCUAAGCCGUCUCUUUCUGGGUGGGACCGAGAGAAUUACUUGUCUGAAAGCGGAAAGAGAAUAGGUCUCAACGAGCAUUGGUAAAGCUAGAAAGCAACCGAAAGAGGCACAUCAAAAGGUCUGAUGUUUGAUCUGAGAGCAUCAUUAUCCCACAUACUCAUUUAGAGGUUCUUAAUCAUUUUUUAAUAAUUUUUAGUUGGAAAAGUAGGUUUAAGAGACUUAGUUAAAAGACAUGUAUAUUUGUAUGGUCCAUUGCAAGUCUUUUAUCUAUGGGUUCUUAAAAAAAAAAUAUGAAGGGUUCUCUUCUUCUCAAACUCAAAAGAUAGACAUCAAAACUUGGGAUAGACAAUUAAAACUAGGGAUAGACAGUUAAAUACAUAUAAUCGAAGGUAGCUAACGUACAGAGCUUAAUUGAGUGUUGAAAGCAUGACUUAGAAGUAGAUUAUUCCCAAAAGACUUGAGCAAAUGAUUUCUUGCCAAAUAAUAUAUCUUAUUUUUUCUAUCUCACAACAGAGAAUUCAAAGCUAGAGAUGGACAUCAAAGCUAGAGAGAGUCAAAUUACAAACAUGAAACAAUGAGACAUUCACAUAUAUAUAUAUAUAUAUAUAAUUAAAGAAAGUGAUGAACAGAGCAUCUAUGUGUGUCCGCAAGCCAAAAGGUUAAACCAAAAAUACAAACUAGUCUGAUUCUUGGAAAAGUUGAUGUACCUUAGCAUCGCUGUGGACAAACUGAAUACCAUGUCCUGGAUAUAUCGUAGAAGAGCAGAACCAACACUUGACCAAUCUCAUCUUGUCUCCUCCUUAAAAGAUCCCUACAAGAACACAUAUGAAUCACAACAAAGAAGAGAUUCAUUCAGACAUCAAAUUGAAGCAAAAUCAUAAAGACUAAACACAACUAGUAGAGAUUUUUCCUUAGAAACAAGUUUACUCAAAAACAAUACGAGGAAGGCAGAUAAAAGUUUCAAUGUUUAUCUAAUUAUUGGUUUCACUAUCUCACUCUCUGAACUGUGGUGAUGUCUGGGUCAAGAUGCUUGAAGAAGCCAAAUCCGACGUAGAGCAAGAACUCAUUUUGUCAAGCUACUAUCACCAACAAGACAUUCAGCAAUCUGCAUCUGACGAGCCUGAGAACCACUGGGACGACGACCUCCUCCUCUCUGCAUCACCAUCUUCGUGCUGAUUAAGUGAGAGACCAUUGGUUCCUGGUCUCAGCUCACUGACCUUGGUGAACACUGGCUUCCUCAACGCAGGUGAUGCCUCAGCCAAGUUCACUUUUAAAUUCCAAGUUCAUCUUUAUCAGAACCAUGUUUCGUCAGACCAUUAACAGCCUUUCCUAUCUCAGUACUCUGUAGACAGAUAACCUUAAAGAUCAAACACGCACUCUCAUUCAAAACCUCAGGAACAACAACUUGAUACACAAUGAACCAACCUUGAGAAUAUCCACAUUCAAAGACAUCAACUUUAGCUUCCUUAGAUAAUCAAGUAUCACUGAGUGUGGCUACAUAACACACACACACACAAAAAAUCAAGCUUCCAUGAUCAAAAAUUACAAUUUUAAGGAAAUUUAAAAGAUCAAAAACAAACCUCGAUGUCUUUGUCGAGCAAGAUGUCUUUGAUCCUAACAACCUUCUUAGAAGCCAUUGAAAACUCUUCAAUCGCAUCACUCAAGGCCUCAGCUUCAUCUUCUUCUUCUUCAUAACUAUAAUUGCUAACAAUCUGAUUAUUGUUAUCUCAUCUGCUACUUUAAGGGAACUGAGAGAUUGGUGGUUCCCAGAAUGGCCUCUGCAAUCCCAUGAGCAUACCGAGGCUACAACAGAUGAUUGAGAUCCUAAAUGGGAGACUACAACACAGGAAAAAAAAACACCAGAGAAACUAUCCACUGAUUCCAUUCAUCAUCGAGAAGAGAAGAAGGCGGAGUCGAGGAUUCAGGAGAGAGAGAAAGACGACGAAGAAAGAGAGACACGUGUCUCUAAGAGACGUCUCUUGUGGCCCUUAAUUAAGAGACGUUUUUACUCUUAAUGCAUAAUUUUUUUUUUCUAAUUAUAAAAACAUUAAAAACCCUACCUAAGAAACGGCGAUGAUGGUGCUCUGACGUCUUUGGCAUCGUUUCUUCCUCUCUUGCGGUGGAGCCCACCCCUUAGCACUCCCCUAAAUCCCCACGUUAAUCCUGCCCUAAAUGUACUCGCAACCACUGUCUAUCAGAACUUUAUCACAGUAUUGUGCUGCAAACAAAAUGAUAAUAUAAUUUUGGUUACUUACUAGAAAAAAAAAAUCAUUUUUCAAGUAAACAAGUGAUUGUUACCUAGAUGACCCGCAACCGAAACCGAAUACAUAUGAAUCUUCCACUGGUUAGAGUUGUCGACGAGAUCAAAAUAUUGGUGGUGACCUUCGUAAUGUUCCUGACUGACACCUCCAAAGCUUAGGCGUCCACCGUCGUUGCCAUGAAAAUGAUAAUUUCGCAGGUAAAGUGAAAACCCUGGUUCAUCAGUGUCAUCCUAAAAUACAAAUAAUUAAGCGUUCAUAUUAUUAAACAUGCAAACGCAAUACAAGAUAUGGAGACGUCACGUGUCAUUUCUUAUAUUUAAAAGGGAGUUUUGGGCCACCUAAGUUUUCAUCAACGAUGAACUAUUGAGUGGUAACUAAUUAAAAUUAAUAAAAGAAACGUAAAAGGUAUUACCAGAUAGGAACAGCACUGCAUCAAUAUUGGCUGGCAGAGGUAAUCCAAGUCCCACAAACCCAUCAUAGGGAAGAUUAAUGUAAAACUGACGUGGAACGACCCUUCGACAGACUACGAACUCUUGUGGACCAACCAUAACAAGGUUUCCCAUGGGUCCUAACAUCAUGUGCUCGGUUCUCCUCCUCCCGGAUAUGGUGACAGCACCAUUUCGCAACCUAAUCGAGGCCAACGUUCCUUAUACGACAAAGCCCAAACACACACAAUCCUCAGUUUUUUUAGUGGACAUAGAAAGACAUGGACAUUACUUCAAGAAAGAUAUAUAUAUAUAUAUAUUACCAGGAGCUUUCGUUGUACGUGGGUUUUUAUAGGAAGGGGAAGGGAAAACCCUAGGUCUUUGCCAAAUGGGCCGUAGAGAAGCCCAUAUUCAUAAAGAAUUUUAUGGGCCAGGAACCGGGCCGUUACAGUAGAGAAUGGUGCCUUUAACCGAGUAAUGAGUUGUGUAUAGGACAUAUCCAUUGUUGAUUAAUAUGACUUGUGUUUUAACUUGCUUCUCUCUUGCCUUUUUAUGCAGGAGAACGCAUCAAGUAUUUGAUAUGGCUGUUAGGGUUUUCAAGAACAUACUACAGAGAGAGACAUGGAAAUUGGUCGGAACCUUGGAAACAGGAUUCUUAGAGGGCUUGACCGGAUGAAGACAUCAGCGCAGGUUCUAAGCCCAAAACAGAUAGAGCCAAGCAUAGGCAAGGCGAAGAGACUAUUAGAUUCAACUCGUCUCAAACCGCAUGCCAGCACGAAGACUCCUCCGAGUAAUGAAGUCGGUAGGCACUUGUUCUUGUCUUUGAGGAACCUUCGGCCCAAGUUUCCCCCAGCUAUCUCAAUGAUGAUGAAGAUCAAGCCGCCAAGACCCAUUAGAAGUACCACUCAGCACGCGAUUGAUAACCAAAUAUAAAUAGAUACGGUGUAAUAUUAAUUUGGAAAAGUGAAAAUACCGGGCAGUUCUAAAUUUGUGUUUACAAGAGCUUGGAGAUGAUAAAACGUUCUAAGCAUAAACUUCAGAUAAUCACAUGAGUAGCGGUUACGCCUUCAUCAAUAAGUUUUUAAGGAAUGAAACGUAAUCUUGUACAUUUUGUGCAUCUUGCAACUUCAGACCUAUCAACUUUUAUAAUGGAACCGUCCAUCUUUAGUGGACGGUAGUGGUCGGCGCGAACAGCUCUGUGAAUCACCGAAUUCUGCGUAUGCAGUCAGAAGAGGAAGUCAACAUUUUUUAAAACCUCUCUUUACAAUCCAAACUUUAUAUCAUGCGAAGUGUAGAUUUUUUUUUAUUUAAAAAAUAAGAUGGAAUAAAUCAUGUUUUACAUUGUGAAGAAGACCAUACCUUUUCAUCAAGGAAAAAGGAAGGGAUUCCCAUAAACUGAUCAACAAUGUAUUAGGAAGUUCUAUCAAAUCGAAGAGCAUCAAAGGUUGAGUGAUAGCUGAUUGGAAAACAUUGUUCUAGGGGAGGAGCCCCGGGUUUUAUAAUACUCAAAAAAUGUAAAAUGUGGUGGAUUUGGGUGAUUUUUUGGUUUAGUUGAAGUGGUUUUAAUUAAAUUUCAGAAAUUAGAGUGAAGUUUUUGAUGCAAGAAACAAAUCAAAAGGGAAGGCUAGAUUAUAAAACAAACAUCACAUUGUGGAACCAAGUAAAGUUAUGUGGGAAGUCCUUUUAGUCACACUACGGUUAUCAAAAAAAAUUAUCAAAAAAAAAAAAAAAAAUCCUUGUAGUCACCAUUAAUAGUGUUAUCAAUACGUUAUUUAUACAUUCUGAAAUAAUUUCUUGGUAAAGAUGCUUCUAGACAGAUAUCCAUAUUCAAAUGUCAAAAGCUACGGUAUAUGUUAAAUCGAAAUUGGAAAAAGAAAUGAACAGCGACAAUGUCCAUAACAUUUUAUAAAUAUACAUGAUGGUUAGUUAUCAAAAAAAAGAUGGUUAGUUAUAGUAACUCAUAUCACACUAUCACAUCCCUAAGUGCCGAAACAUAAGAAAAUGGCGCAUCCUAUGAUCUUCUCACUGCCUUCACUCAUCCUUCUCCACCAAGCAAGUACAUCUCAAUCUUACUACAAACCAAAGGCUCAAGCAUUUCUGCACCCUAUUUACAAGGACAAGACCACAAAUCUCUACUCCUUGCCUUUGACCAUCGGCUCGAACCUCCACAGCCAAAACUUCCUCAUUGACCUCAACGGAGCCGCGCCGCUAUUGCUAAACUGCACCGCCGCCUCCACCUCCUACCACUCCAUCAGAUUCGCAAACCCGAACUCUUCAUGUCCCAAGAACACAACCAAUAAGCCCCUGUGCCGUAAAUACGUUUCAACAUCGUUUAUGGAUCGACCAGUCAAUGCGAGGCUCUGACAUAUUGUUGGCUUACUAUACACACCUAAUGGAGUAUACUCCAUGGACGUCGAAAGAUCUCUACGUUGACUUUGAUGUGCACUACGAUGCUACUGCCUUGAAACCUAUCCCCAAGGCUUUCGGUGGAUCCAUUGGGCUCGCUAACAACCACUUAUCUGUUCCCUCGCAGCUUGUCUCCAUGUACAAGCUUCCUCCAAAGAUGUCUCUUUGCUUGCCUUCCACGGAAGGUAUGAAGUCUUAUCACAAUGGUGACUUUCGGAUCAGCGGCGCUCCUUUUUUCUAUAUAUCUACCUUACCUUAAAGAUGCGUCUAAGAUCUUUUCCUCGACGCCUUAAAGAUAAUUUCUUGUCUUUCUUGAUCCUUUUGCUAUUUGAGUCUGCUCAAUAUUUUUAGUACCUUUGCAAAGUGCGUCUCAGAACUCAAUGCAACGUACAGCCUGUACGAAGAAGAACACAAAGUGGCGUCUCAGAUCAGUGUUUCCAGGAUAUUUUUCAACAGCAUAUAUCCAAAUAUAACAACAAACAUGAAGUCGAGGGAAAAAGAUAAAUGUCAAUGAAAGCCAAGCUUAAGAUCUUAUUAAGCUUGUCACCAACAAAGGUUUCUCUGAGUUAAUAGAUAAUGUGAGUCCCUAAUAUGUACAUGACAUGAUUAUGAUCUAAGAGAACAAAAGCCUUUGCGAAAGGAAAAGGCAAAGAAGAAGCAAUGUAUUCUUCAAGCAAUGAGUCAAAGAGAGAACAUGAAGCAUUCUUCACAGCAAUCAAAUAGUUUGGAGAAGUGGUGGGAGAGACUUAUACGAUAACUUUCAGUUUCUCUUUGAUUUUCUUUUUUUCCUUCAAGACCAUGUUGGCAAAGCCUUGCAUCGCUCUUUGGUGGAUCAUACAAAGUCACAGUUUAAUGCCAAUAAAUCAGAAACGUUUCAUUUUAAGGAGGAUAAAAAGACAUCAAAUCUCAAUAAUUUUAAAAGAAAUGUCACUACCAAAAAUUUACCAGACAAUACAGAGGAGAGAACAUCAAUAAAAUCUUUGCGAUAAGUUGUUACUAGCAAUUUUUAUAUGUAACUGUAGACGGUAGAAGUGACGAAUCAGUUAAAUUGAAAGAUAUGGAAGAGUCUAGAGAAUGUAACUUGACGCGUAACGCCUAGGCGGCCGAGUUUUAGAACAGGGGUUUUAAGCAAAAAAAUAAAAUAAAAUACUAAGCUUAUGUACUCGUUUUAUUUAGUGAUGCUCUUAACUUUCUAACGUGAAUAAUUUACGUCACUUUUAUGUUCUCGGUUUUACAGAAUUGGAUUAUUAUUAUUAUAGAUGUAAUCUGAAUAAUUGAUAGCUGCCCAAAAAAGAAUAAUUGAUAGAUGGGAGUUUUUAUCGGCAAUAGGAGAUAUAACCGAGAUAUGGUUAGGUAAGGAGAUUCGAGAUUUUGGUUUCAGUAUUUCAAUUGAUUUUUUCGGCUAGUUAUUUAAUGUUGUCAAAUGAAAAUAAGGCUAUGAUAUAGUCUUGUAAUAUUUAAGGUAAAUAAGGGUUAAUUUUAAUUUGUACUUCAUUUUUAAUAGAUUAGAUAUAUCAUAUUUGUAUAACCUUAGUUGUGUUAUAAACCAAAUGAUGAUCGAGCAUGGACCAGCCUUCUGUUCCCUCGCAGCUUGUCUCCAUGUACAAGCUUCCUCCAAAGUUGUCUCUUUGCUUGCCUUCCACGGAAGGUAUGAAGUCUUAUCACAAUGGUGACUUUCGGAUCGGCGGCGCUCCUUUUUUCUAUAUAUCUACCUUACCUUAAAGAUGCGUCUAAGAUCUUUUCCUCGACGCCUUAAAGAUAAUUUCUUGUCUUUCUUGAUCCUUUUGCUAUUUGAGUCUGCUCAAUAUUUUUAGUACCUUUGCAAAGUGCGUCUCAGAACUCAAUGCAACGUACAGCCUGUACGAAGAAGAACACAAAGUGGCGUCUCAGAUCUGAACUUAGUUUACCUCGUUAUCUGCAAGGCCUAAGCAAAUGCAAUAUUGUGUUGGACAGAUCCAGUAUUCACAUCAAGAAGAUUUAGUAGUGAGAUGAUGCCUCCUCUUUGUCCGAUGCCAGCUUGAUUGUGUGUGUCCUGCAACAUUUAAAAUAUUGCAUUGAGAAUAUACCAGCGUAUUAAGAUAUGUUCCAAGCAAAAAAAGAAUUGCAACUUUUGUUCUUAUCACAUAAAAGGUCUGAUUUAAUAAUAAUCAUCCAUAAAGAACCAGAUUCAGGAAAACACAAGUGCCUGAGCCAAUCGACCAAGAGCAAAAGCUGACAUUUCCACGACCUGCUCAUCUGAUGACUGAAGCAUCUUAAUCAAUGGUGUAAUGGCACCUCUCUGGGCAAUGUGCACCUGCAUUAUCAUUUUGUCGGUAUGUUAAUACAAGUGUUACAUCCAAGUUACAAUAUUCUCGACGACAUGCAAUAAUCUGGGUUUAAGAAAGCAUUUGAACAUGCAAUGACGCUAGUAUCUAUAUUAUUGACGAUAUGCAGUGGAAAGAUACCUUUUUAAAUAAGGAUCUCUUAAAUUCCCCAGAGCUGUCACACUCGAGACAUUGACAACGAAUGGUCCUUUGUUUCUUGGAGACAGCACGGCUUAACUUGACCAUGGUGUAAGGCACCACUGGAAUAGCCAUGAUCGUCAAAAUGAAAAUGGGAAACAAUGCGCUGAGUUUUCAGGGAUCCUGCAAGGAGAAGGUCUUCUAUAAAUCUGACAUCUAAAAACAGAAUAAAUUCAUGAUCUGAAGUUAUACUAGGGCUGGAUCUGAGGGUGUCCAUUGAAAUUAGGGGUUCUUCGUCACGGCGAUCAACUACAAUAGAUCCCAACUAAUCUAGGUAAGGUCUAAACCGAUUCAAAUUCUUUGCGACUUCUCCUCUGUUUGGAUUUGUUUAUCUAAUCUGUUAUCUUUUCAUCCAGGAAGAGCAGUGUGAUUCCAAUAAACUCACCGCCUUUCUUUUAAUGUUGCGGGAAUCCCAGAAGCGGAGGAGACGGCCAACAAUGAAUUGAGUGGUACGACCAAGCCGGAGAGAGUCAAAGCUUGAGUAACUGGAGCAGCAGAGAGAGACAAUUUUAGGAGAAGUAGAGGAAGCCAUGAGUUUUUUUUAGUAGAAGAACUCCUGAGAUAUAUAAACGACUUCGAAGAUAUAGAGACCUUUUUCGCUUUAAAAAAAAAAAAUUUAAGUGGAUCCCACUACCUGCCGACAUGGACACCGUUAGACUACCUGCCAACAUGGACACCGUUAGAACUGAGCAAAAAAUGAUCUAUUAUAAUAUAGAUUUUUUACUUAAAAUAUAAAAGAAAUAUAUAGGUAUUGAAUGUUAUGAGUGGAACGACGAAAACGCAUGGCAGAACAGAAAUCAUGGUAUGGGUCACAAAUAUGUGCAAGAGCCAAAUCAAUUCGCCUUUGUAUAAUCUUCUCAGUGGUUCUCAUCAGAUAUAAUAAUUGGUUCAUUAAGAGACCUUUUUCGCUUUAAAAAAAAAAAAUUUAAGUGGAUCCCACUACCUGCCGACAUGGACACCGUUAGACUACCUGCCAACAUGGACACCGUUAGAACUGAGCAAAAAAUGAUCUAUUAUAAUAUAGAUUUUUUACUUAAAAUAUAAAAGAAAUAUAUAGGUAUUGAAUGUUAUGAGUGGAACGACGAAAACGCAUGGCAGAACAGAAAUCAUGGUAUCAUUCAUCUCUAAUAACUAUACAAAACACAUGAUGUGGUUUAAAAUUAAAAAAAAUAAUAAAAAAAGAAACAGAAAGUGCGUUUUAGAAUACGCACGCGAACCACAGAAGUAGCAAAGUAGGUGUGGUUUGUUAAGUGGUUUAGUGGUUUAAUUUUUUUUUCUUCUUUCAGAAAUUUUGUUUGUGUAUAAAUAGAUAUAAAAGAGGGAAAUUUUGCAGAUACAACUUCAAAGCAACUAGCAAAGGUAUGGCAAUAUAUCUGGAGUUUUCUUUAUUUCAGUUUAUUUUUUUUUAUUUAAUUUCAUUAACAAUUUUUUGUCAUUUCAUUUUUUUUUGCAGGUGCACCUUGAAAUCACAUUUGAAUUUUGGAAAGGUACACCCAUGAAUCUUAAACGUAUUUCAAUUUUUUCACAUUUUUAGUUUAUAAAUAUUAAUAAUUAAGUUUAAAAUAUAUAUUUUAAUCUUAUUUUCAUAUAUGAAACAAAAAACUGUUAUUUAAAAAAUAUAAUAAUACAAUAUAAACUACUAUAUAUUUAUAUAUCAAAACUUAAUUAUUUAAGUUAAAUUAUUAUAGAAAAUUUUUAAUUGCGUAAAAUAUAUUAAUGUUAAUUUUCUAGUUGGUGGUUGUUUUCUCAAAGUGUUUUUUAAAACAUUUAUAUUAAGUUCAUCAAGUUCUACAUUGGAAGCAAUUGAAUUGCUUACACCAUUUCAAGUUUGUGUGUAUGAUUUUUUUUUUCAUUUCAAAUUUUUCUUUUUACAUUUCAUUUUCAUUAACUUAUAAAUAUAUGCAAUAUACAUAAUAUAAAAUAAUAUAUAUGUAAAGAUUUAUUUAUUGAAGUUAAAAAUGUACGAACAAUUUUAGUUGUGUAGAAUAUAUAAUGCAAAUUAAUGAUAAUUUUUGUUAUUAAUUAUAUUUUUACUGUUUAACAAACCCUAGAUUUUUAUGUGUUAAGAGAACUAUAUAUGUUUAUGAGUUAAUUUAUCAUAAGAAGUAUUGUUAAAAACAUGAUAGUGUUUACAUAAAAAUAUUUUUUAUUGUAGAUAAUGCUUGAUAAGUAACCAUAUUGAAACACAUAUAUUUUUUUUUAAAAAAAAAAAUAUAUAUGUAUAUAUAGAUUCUAAUACUAAUACAAUUAGGAUAAACAAAAUGAUUAUGUAAUUAUGAUUUAGUUUUUAAAAUUUUUACUAAUAGUUUUGUAUAAUAGUGCAGAAUAUCGUCAAGUCAUCGAGGCAGUGCAAGUUCUUCCAGACAAAGAGGCCGAAAUGUUUCUAAUGAAACUAAGAGUAAGUUUUAAUUCUAAAUAUUUUAUUAAUUUUAUAUAUGCAAAAAUAUUAGCUAAAACAUAUAUAUUAUAAUUUGUAGAGUAAGUUUUAAUUCUAAAUAUUUUAUUAGUUUUGCGUUACAUGAUGUAUACUCGCAACCCUAACAUUCUGCACGACAAAGAAGACAAGAGAUAAUGAAUGAGAGACGAGGUGAUGACUCCACACAUGGAUACUCAGAUUUUGAUGGGAAUGAGAUGCUAGACACUGAAGUUCCAGACACACAAGAAAAUGAAGAAGUGUAUCGGGUCAACCUAGAUGAUGAUUCACAUCCUUCAAAUGAAUUUACCCAUGAUGCAGUUGGAAUCAAUAUUGGAAGAGGUGAACAACGUGGGAGACGUGGAAGUAGUUCACACUCUAGUGGCAGACGAGGGGGUAGUUUGGAUAGAUCAGGUGGAAGCUCAGGAGCUAAUGUUGGAAGUGGUUCACGAGGAAGUCAGCGAAAACAAUCAUUUGAGACAACAAUGCAAGAAACUAUUACUGGGUUUAGAGAUUUUCAACGACAAAGUCUACAACAACUUCUUCCUGGUGCGUUUGAUCAAGAUGAUUACGAUGAAUGGAAAAAGGCGGAAGCGUUAUUCCUUGAUCUACAAGUUACAAAACAUACUAAAUUUUAUUGGAAAUGUCUUAAUACACUCCAAGAGUUAAAAUUUUGGCGUAAGUAUUUUAUUGAUAUAGCUUCAAGCACUGACGAGGACAAGCUACAAUUGCUUGAAGCUAUGACUGGUGUUUCACGAAACAACGAAGAUAUUCCAAAACAGUUGGGUUUGGGACUAUCACAUGGGAGUUCAUCUUCUGUGGGCAAUAAUUCUGGCGGUCAAAGCUCACCAGGUUUAUGGGGUCCUGGAUUUCAACAGUGGGAACACCACCAAACGCACAACAUUGGGGCACACCGCCAAAUGCGCAACAAUGGGGCACACCGCCAAAUCCACAACAAUGGGGUGUACAACCUGGUUUUCAACGGUGGGGAACACCACCAAAUGCGCAAAAAUGGGGCACACCGCCAACUGGACAGCAGUGGAGCGCACCGUCAACUACACAACAAUGGGGCACACCACCAACUGCACCACAGUGGGGCACACCACCGAAUGCUCAACAAUGGGGCACACCACCGAAUGCUCAGCAAUGGAACACACCGCCGAAUGCUCAGCAAUGGGGCACACCACCGAAUGUUAAUCAAUGGGGAACACCACCGAAUGCUCAACAGUGGGGUACACAAUCAAAUGUUCAACAGUGGGAUACACCAACGAGUGCUCAACAGUGGGGGCGUCAAAGACCUAAUCAUGGAAAUGACAAAUCAGCCAGAACGAAUCCAACUCAUGUUCAAUAUGGAUUUUCGUUGGACGAUCAUCAUGAAGUUUCAGAUAGCGCAACAAAAAGAACUUCGCCUGAUACCCAACAACCACAAUCACCCGGUCUUGGUUUCACAAGUCGUUUUGAUUCUGGACAAAAUUCACGACAACCCAGAACAGGAGGUCUGUUCAACAUAUGGGGAAACACACAAGAUAAUCAAAGUGAUGACGAAGAUGAAGAUUAGUUUGCUAUAACAUUAAAUAUGUUUUGUAUGUUUAUGUUUUAUGUGUCAUGUCAUUGUAAAAUUUAAAUUGAAAUGUUGCUUAUGGUUUUAUUUUUGCUUUUAAAAUUUUCAGGCGUUUCGUAUAUGCCAACUGCGGUCACAAGGUGUUCACAAUCUAAGCUACGAAGAGAGAGUUGAGUUGUGGAAUUUGGAAAAUGAACAAUUUGAGGAGUUAGUAAUUCAACCAAGUUUGAAUUAUUAUGAUCAAAAUUUCCAAAGAGCGCCGCAACGAACUGGCAGAGGUUUGGGAUGGAGAAAUAUUUGGAAUCGGUUACAAGAAGAUGAUGCAGCUUGUCUUCAGUUACUAAGAAUGUCACUUCCAUGUUUCACAGCACUGUGUAACAUUCUACAAACAAAUUACGGUCUACAACCGACAUCCAAUAUAAGCAUUGAAGAAAGUGUGGCUAUAUUUCUAGUGAUAUGUGGACACAAUGAAGUUCAGAGAGAUGUCGGUUUGAGGUUGUUUUGCGUUACAUGAUGUAUACUCGCAACCCCAACAUUCUGCACGACAAAGAAGACAAGAGAUAAUGAAUGAGAGACGAGGUGAUGACUCCACACAUGGAUACUCAGAUUUUGAUGGGAAUGAGAUGCUAGACACUGAAGUUCCAGACACACAAGAAAAUGAAGAAGUGUAUCGGGUCAACCUAGAUGAUGAUUCACAUCCUUCAAAUGAAUUUACCCAUGAUGCAGUUGGAAUCAAUAUUGGAAGAGGUGAACAACGUGGGAGACAUGGGAGUAGUUCACACUCUAGUGGCAGACGAAGGGGUAGUUUGCAUAGAUCAGGUGGAAGCUCAGGAACUAAUGUUGGAAGUGGUUCACGAGGAAGUCGGCGAAAACAAUCAUUUGAGACAACAAUGCAAGAAACUAUUACUGGGUUUAGAGAUUUUCAACGACAAAGUCUACAACAACUUCUUUCUGGUGCGUUUGAUCAAGAUGAUUACGAUGAAUUGAAAAAGGCGGAAGCGUUAUUCCUUGAUCUACAAGUUACAAAACAUACUAAAUUUUAUUGGAAAUGUCUUAAUACACUCCAAGAGUUAAAAUUUUGGCGUAAGUAUUUUAUUGAUAUAGCUUCAAGCACUGACGAGGACAAGCUACAAUUGCUUGAAGCUAUGACUGGUGUUUCACGAAACAACGAAGAUAUUCCAAAACAGUUGGGUUUGGGACUAUCACAUGGGAGUUCAUCUUCUGUGGGCAAUAAUUCUGGCGGUCAAAGCUCACCAGGUUUAUGGGGUCCUGGAUUUCAACAGUGGGAACACCACCAAACGCACAACAUUGGGGCACACCGCCAAAUGCGCAACAAUGGGGCACACCGCCAAAUCCACAACAAUGGGGUGUACAACCUGGUUUUCAACGGUGGGGAACACCACCAAAUGCGCAAAAAUGGGGCACACCGCCAACUGGACAGCAGUGGAGCGCACCGUCAACUACACAACAAUGGGGCACACCACCAACUGCACCACAGUGGGGCACACCACCGAAUGCUCAACAAUGGGGCACACCACCGAAUGCUCAGCAAUGGAACACACCGCCGAAUGCUCAGCAAUGGGGCACACCACCGAAUGUUAAUCAAUGGGGAACACCACCGAAUGCUCAACAGUGGGGUACACAAUCAAAUGUUCAACAGUGGGAUACACCAACGAGUGCUCAACAGUGGGGGCGUCAAAGACCUAAUCAUGGAAAUGACAAAUCAGCCGGAACGAAUCCAACUCAUGUUCAAUAUGGAUUUUCGUUGGACGAUCAUCAUGAAGUUUCAGAUAGCGCAACAAAAAGAACUUCGCCUGAUACCCAACAACCACAAUCACCCGGUCUUGGUUUCACAAGCCGUUUUGAUUCUGGACAAAAUUCACGACAACCCAGAACAGGAGGUCUGUUGAACAUAUGGGGAAACACACAAGAUAAUCAAAGUGAUGACGAAGAUGAAGAUUAGUUUGCUAUAACAUUAAAUAUGUUUUGUAUGUUUAUGUUUUCUGUGUCAUGUCAUUGUAAAAUUUAAAUUGAAAUGUUGCUUAUGGUUUUAUUUUUGCUUUUAAAAUUUUCAGGCGUUUCGUAUAUGCCAACUGCGGUCACAAGGUGUUCACAAUCUAAGCUACGAAGAGAGAGUUGAGUUGUGGAAUUUGGAAAAUGAACAAUUUGAGGAGUUAGUAAUUCAACCAAGUUUGAAUUAUUAUGAUCAAAAUUUCCAAAGAGCGCCGCAACGAACUGGCAGAGGUUUGGGAUGGAGAAAUAUUUGGAAUCGGUUACAAGAAGAUGAUGCAGCUUGUCUUCAGUUACUAAGAAUGUCACUUCCAUGUUUCACAGCACUGUGUAACAUUCUACAAACAAAUUACAGUCUACAACCGACAUCCAAUAUAAGCAUUGAAGAAAGUGUGGCUAUAUUUCUAGUGAUAUGUGGACACAAUGAAGUUCAGAGAGAUGUCGGUUUGAGGUUUGGACGAAAUCAGGAGACUGUGAUGAGAAGAUUUAGUGAAGUUUUGACAGCAACUGAACUUCUUGCAUGUGAUUAUAUUAGAACUCCAACAACACAAGAACUACAGCGAAUUCCUGAAAGACUUCUAGUAGACCGAGUAAAUUAUCCGUAUUUUAGCGGUUGUGUUGGAGCGAUGGAUGGAACGCAUGUUUGUGUCAAAGUCACUCCUGAGUUACAAGGAAUGUAUUGGAAUCGACAUGAUAAUGCAUCAUUGAACAUCAUGGCAAUAUGUGACUUCAAUAUGUUAUUCACUUAUAUUUGGAAUGGAGCUCCAGGAUCAUGUCACGACACAGCUGUUCUAACCAUGGCAAAAGAAAGUGUUCUGAGUUUUCUAUGCCUCCACUUGACAAGUAUUAUCUUGUCGAUUCCGGCUAUCCCAAUAAACAAGGGUUUCUAGCUCCCUAUAGGUCAUCACGUAAUAGAGUUGUGAGGUAUCAUAUGUCACAAUUUAACUAUGGUCCCCCUCCAAAAAAUAAAGAAGAACUCUUCAAUCGGCGUCAUGCUUCUUUACGUUCCGUAAUCGAGAGGACUUUCGGGGUUUGGAAGAAAAAAUGGAGGAUUCUUUCUGAUUUUCCAAGAUAUGAUAUUGAUAUACAAAAAGAGUGAUAAUGGCAACUAUGAGACUACAUAAUUUUAUCAAAAUUUUAAAUUUAGCAGAUGCAGAUUUUGCUGAAGUGAUGAUAGAGACGGGAAUAAACGACACAAACUUGGAGAACGAUUUAGACGACACGGAAGCAUUAAAUGCUACAAAUACAAUAGAUGGAGAAUAUAUGGCUCGAAUAAGGGAUAAUAUUGCAAAUAUGUUGUGGGAAAAUUUAAAUUCUUGAUUGUAUAUUUGUCUAUGUGGUGUAAUAAGAAGAAUUUAAAUUUUAUAUAUUUAUUAAUAAUAGUUAUAUCUUUUGUUUUAUUAAAAUAUAUUUAAAUUUAAGUUUUAUCCGCACCGCUUAUUCUAAUUUUACCAUUCUACUUUUGGUUAUGUACCGCACUUGCUUUUUGUUACCAUUCACAUUUUAUUUUGUACCGCUUUUUUUUUGUUUAACCGCUAAUAAUCCGCAGUUUACAAAACCGCAGUUAAACCGUACCGCACUAUCCAAUUCGCUUGUCCCGCGCCGCUCAAUCCGCUGUUACCAUUCGGAAGCCAAUCAGGGUAAGUCCGAAAGUCAGCACGCAUCCGGUUUAGUUUCCGUAUGAGUGGGGAUACAUCUUGCCGAAAAGUAUAAAACAAACAGAGAGAACAAAAAAUUGAACAAGGCAGGCAGGCAGGCGUUGGAAGAUCAAAUCAAAUCAAUGUCGAGAGAGAGGACCAGACGUGAAUUACCUCCCGUUCAAGAGGUAGGUACCCUUUUACUCGAAUGAUCUCUCUUCCUCUUUGAAUUGAAUCUUUUUUUUUUUUGUGGGAUUGUUUUAUAUUUUUUUUUGAAAGAAUGUUAAAUUUAUUCAUCAAAAAAAGCUUUAUUACAUAAAUGCAUCCUGUUUUUUAUGUAUACCUUUAGAAAACAUCACCCUUUUACAAACUAUUUUGGAACCAAAAUUGCAUUAACUCUCCUGCUCCCUUGAUACCUUUCUUCCGCAUCACACUGAACUUGUUUCUAAUACUUUUAUCAAGCAAUCUUUUAAGCACCCCUAAUGGCAACAGCUUGUCACCAUGCCUGAUCUUAUUUCGCUCUCUCCAAACCGCAUACAGAACUACUUGAAAAGCGUAUCUUAUACAGAACAGACUUCUCUUCUCCCUUGAUGAAUCAUUUAUAAACUCCAUAAUCUCCGACCAAUGCUUGGUAAAAGAGUUACCCAUUAUACCUUUUGCCAUAAACUCCCAAAGUUUGGAUGUGUAAUCACACUCGAAAAACAAAUGAUUCCUUGACUCCUGCGCAGAACGACAAAGCACACAAGUUGAAUCUACUCCAUGACUCCAUUUAACCACACGAUCCAUUGUUGAUAGCCUGUCUCUAGAGGCUAACCACACCAUAAACGCAUAUCUGGGAGUAGUUUGAGGAAACCAUAUCCCACUGGCCCAAGAACAUAAAGGAGAACUUCCUCUCAACUGCAUCCAAGUUUCUUGUGUGGAGAACUUCAUCCUGUAUCCCGCUUUACCCUUCCAAGUGCUCACAUCAUUUACCCCAGGGUCAAGCCUGCUGCUAAUUUCUCGAAGCUCAGCUUCAAUAUCAUUCAGAACACUAGUGCGAUGCCUUCGCCUUCUCCGAAUACACAAUACAGCCUCUUCCACCGUUGCAUCUUUCCCGACACCCAAGUCUAUGACUCCUCUAUCACCCAGCAGCUCAGAGAAUACACCUUUGUCAGACCAAUGAUCAUACCAAAAAGAAGAAUGUCUCCCAUUUCCAAUCUCUUUCUUAUAGAACAGUUUAGCCACUUCUCUUAGCUUCAAAAUCUUCCUCCAUAUGCAAGAACCCAUUUGUGGAUUUGACUUCACUGCCCAAAAGCUCUUCCCUUUCAGUAAAUUACCUCUUACCCAUUUACCCCAUAAUGAAUCACCAGUUAACAGCCUCCAAAUCAACUUUAGUCCAUAUACCUUAUUUACUUCCCUCAGAUCCCGAAUCCCCAAGCCUCCUUCACUCUUAAUGCAACAGAUUUCCUUCCAAGCUACCUUAGCAUUUGAAGUUUUAAGAACUGGCCCGGUCCAUAGAAAUGCCGAACAAAUACUCUCCACCUCCUUUAUACAACUACUUGGAAUGCGAAAUACAGAAAUCCAGAAGUUGACAAUGCUAACAAGCACAGAUAUUAUGAGUUGUAGCCUGCCUGCAUAUGACAAAUAUCGGCAUGUCCAAGAGUUGAUCUUACUUUUUAUGUGCUCCAACAGAGGGUAGUAGUCUUGUGUUCUCAUAGCUUGAGUCAUGAGUGGAAGCCCCAAGUAACGUACAGGUAGUUCACCUUCCGCAAACUUGAAGUUCGUCAAAAUACUCCUCUUCUCAUCGACUGAUACUCCAGCCAUGUAUAUUGUGGAUUUCUCCACACUUAUACUUAACCCCGACCAGACUUCAAACUCCUCAAAUACGGAAAGAGCACCCUGCACAGAAUCCUUGGAGCCUUCUACGAAGACCAUUAGAUCAUCUGCAAAACAGAGAUGGGUAAGAGAAAGCUUUUGACAACCCGGGUGGACCUUAAACUUCCUCUCAACCAUCGCUUUGUCCAGUUUCAGAGAUAACACAUUCAUACAAAGUACAAACAAGUAUGGAGCCUUGUAGAUGUACAAAUCCAUCAGUGCCAGGUUCGCAGUUCGAUUCCUUCCUAAACCCCAAAAUUCUCUCUCUUUUUUCUGUUUUGUUUGUUGGUUGGUUAUUACUUGGAGGAUUCUGUUAAUUCGGUUAAAAGUUUGGAUUUGAGAUAAAGCAUGAGCCUUUUUUGCUUCCGCAGAUACGUUACGGCUCAGAGAUUCUCUGAAGCUCUUGAUAUACUCUUCUCUGGGUCAUGCCUUGAACUAGAGCACGGCCUGGUUUGUUCCCUUUCCUUCUUUUUGUUAUUACACAUAUCUAUGUAAUGACAUGUUAUCACAAAGUUUUUAAGCUAGAAAAAUACUUUAUUAUGAAACAAUAGUGAUUUUCUUAUUGAAACAAUUAAUCCUCAGGUGAAUUGUGGGGCGGACCUUGCUCUUUUGUUUGUUGACACACUUGUUAAAUCCAAGUCACCUUGCAAUGAUGAAACUCUUGGUUAGUGUUCCAGGUCACCGUGUAUAAUCGCUAGAGUUCAUUAUCAAUUAUCAUGUAUCACCUUUUGUUUAUAGUACUUUGUGUGUCAGAUCGAAUCAGGUGUAUGUUCAAGUUGUUUCCUAGGGUUCCUGUACCACCUCAUUUGGUAGAUGUGAGCGAUGAUGAAGAUGUCCAUAAUCUUCAAGAAUCUCUUGGGGAUGCUAGAUCACGUGUUGAAAACUUGACCUCCUUCUUGAGAGCUGCUAUAAAGUAAGCCAGAGCACUUGUAUUAUCCUUUUUUUUUUCUCUGUGUUGUUUGAUGUGAACAUUUAUAAAACAUUUUGAAGUUAAAUACUGUUUUUUUUGUCGUCAGAUGGUCUGCAGAGUUUGGAGGCCCAAGUACUGGAUACCCUGAGUUGCAUGCUAUGCUGGCUGAUUAUCUUUACACCGAGUGUCCUGAACUUGUACUCUUCUUGUGUACCCAUUUGGUUAUAAAGUCUUGCAUUGUAUUUUAUUAACUGACUUUUUCUUUAUAUAUAUGGCAGGACAUGGUUCGAAUAUCACGGCAUUUUGUUAGAGCCGAGGACCCUGAGAAGUUUGCAUAUACGCUGAUCAACUUCAUGGGAAGGGUCAGUCUCUUUGUUUCAACACCUCCUUUUUUAUCAUUGAGAAAAUUUUGCUCUUAGAUAUUCAAGACUUGUUUCUUAUACAUGGUAUACUACUAUGCAGUGUUAUCCUGGUGAAGAUGACCUUGCAAUAGCACGAGCAGUUCUCAUGUAAGUUCAUGCUUUCCAACUGGAGUCCCAAGAUUGUUAGGGGAAACUAUAAGGAAUGAAACUUAUUUUGUCUUCUUUUUCCUCCGCAAUUUAGGUACUUAUCUAUGGGUAACAUGAAAGAUGCAAAUUUGAUAAUGGAUGAGAUUAAGAAACAAGCAGAAGCAAAACAUCCUGAGCUCUCAGAAUCAGACCUUAUCCAAUUUACCUCAUAUCUUCUGGAAACGUUAGUUGCACUCUUAAAUCUUCUUCGUCUUCUUUUAGUUUUCUAUUGUUACCUAAAGAAUUUUGAUGCAUGUAUGAUACAGGUUGCAGAGGGAUGCAUUGCCUCUUUUCAAUAUGUUAAGAGUAAGGUAUAAGUCUUGCAUAGAUAGAGAACCACUGCUCAACGAGGUAAUACAACGAUCAAAACACAGAGAGAGAGAUUUGUUUAUCUUGUUAACGGAGACUAAUGUUCCUGGAAAUUUUUGUCUAUCUUGUGAAGUUGCUGGACGAGAUUGCACAGAGAUUUUACGGUGUGCAGCGUAAGAAUCCUAUGGAAGGAAUGUUUGGAGACAUAUUCAAGGUAUAAAUUAAAAAAAAAAACAUAUAGACGAUCUCCCACUUAUCUCAUAUGUUGAAGUUACAAUGCUGGAACCACUGAAAGUCUUUCUGUUCUUGUGUAGAUGAUGGGCUAAGGAAGGAGAUAGAAGGCAAUAAUACUCUGUAUUUGGCGAUGUUCUAAUAAAGGGAUAGCUCUGGUGAAUUCUCCAGUUUAUAAAAUUUGUUUCUCUUAUCCUCAAGUGGAUAAGAGUUUUGUUCUUGUAACAUUAUACAUUGUUUUUGUCAGCACUACUACAGAUUCAGGAUAAACGUAAAGGAAAACUAGAAGUAUUUUGAAACUUUUGUUAAAUUUAUUUAACUCAUAUAUAUAGUACAUGUUAAAUAAGAUAAUUUAUUUUUUUGCAUGCUCAAAUGAAACUAUAAGGAGACAGGUAACUAGCUAGUACUGAAAUAAAUAUUAUAUUAUCCACCCUCUACUUUCCAUAGAACUAAAGAAAACCAUAAAGAGACAGCAGAGAUGGAGACAGAUAGAGAGAGUAUGUCCGGAGGAGGAAGACGAACCCACACCAAGUUUUCCUUUGGUAUAGUCUAUAUAUAGUUUCUUUAUGUUAACAGGCUGAUGCUACUUCAAUAAUGAUAAAUAUGCAUAUGCUGUAAUGUUUUUUUGUUAUGUUUUGCAGGUGUUGUGAGAUUGGUUUUGUCGGUUGGAGUUUUAGCAUGUGUUUAUCAGUCGGUUCAACCUCCACCGCCGAAGAUGUUCACCGCCGUGACAUCACCGAGGAUCAAACUGAGAGAUGGAAGGCAUUUGGCAUACAAAGAACUCGGAGCUCCCAGAGAGGAAGCCAAGUUCAAGAUGAUUUAUAUCCACGGCUUUGAUUCUUGUAUGCACGACUCAUUUUUCUUCCACAACUUGUCGCCAGCUCUUUUGGAGGAACUCAAGAUAUGCAUAGUAUCAUUUGACCGACCUGGUUAUGGAGAGAGUGAUCCUGACCCGAACCGGACACCAAGAAGCAUAGCAUUUGAUAUAGAAGAGCUUGCUGAUGGGUUAGGACUAGGACCAAAGUUCUCUGUCAUUGGCUUCUCUAUGGGAGGUCAAAUCAUUUGGUCUUGUCUUCACUAUAUUCCUCACAGGUUAGACACGGUUUGCUUCUGGCUUGUGUUAAGAUUCAUAACACUUCGGUUUAGAGUUUAAUCAUACAUGAAAGUGUUUCAGGUUAGGUGGAGCGGCGAUGGUAGCGCCCGUAGUUAACUACUGGUGGAGAAACUUGCCUGCAAAAUUGUCUAAGGAAGCUUUAUCUCUAAUGCUUCCUCGAGACCAGUGGAUGCUUAGAGUGGCUCAUUAUGCACCUUGGCUUACUUUCUGGUGGAACACACAGAGAUGGUUCUCAAUUGCUAGCUACAUUUCAUGUGACCCCAACAUCCUCUCGUUUCAGGACAAGGAAAUCUUCUCUAGGCUCGGUUACAAUGACCUGAAUCAGGUUUCAAGAACAUUCUCAUAUUCAUAUCCUAAAGUUUACAAACAUAAUGAAGCAAGUCUCUUUGGUAUACCAUGAAGUUGCGUUUUGUUUUUGGAAGGCAUACGCAAGGAAGCAAGGAGAAUAUGAAAGUCUACACAGAGACUUGAUGAUUGGAUAUGGUCAUUGGGAGUUUGAUCCAUUAGACGUUCAAAAUCCGUUUAAGAACAGUAAUGGCUCAGUCCACCUUUGGCAUGGCGAUGAGGAUAUGUUUGUGCCAGUGUCGCUUCAACGUUUUAUCAUCUCAAAACUUCCGUGGGUUCGAUACCAUGAACUGACUGGCUCAGGCCAUUUCUUUCCUUCUCUUAUGGUUGAUGAGAUUGUCAAGACACUUUUUGUUGGAGAAGACUAGCAAGUGCAAAUGUUUCUGUAGAAGCAUCAAGAAUGUCGGACAACAGUUGAAGAAUAGAAGCAAGUACAGGGUCUUGACUUGACUGUGGCUUUAAGCAAGUUAGACUCCGCUAAGCAAUGAGUAAGGUUGUAUAUCAACAAGGACCAAGGAGAGAGAAACUUUUACAAUGUAAUGUAAUCCAUUACAAAUUAGAACACACUAAAAAGAAGAUAUAUCAAUACAAAGACUCAACCUCCACCGCCGAAGAUGUUCACCGCCGUGACAUCACCGAGGAUCAAACUGAGAGAUGGAAGGCAUUUGGCAUACAAAGAACUCGGAGCUCCCAGAGAGGAAGCCAAGUUCAAGAUGAUUUAUAUCCACGGCUUUGAUUCUUGUAUGCACGACUCAUUUUUCUUCCACAACUUGUCGCCAGCUCUUUUGGAGGAACUCAAGAUAUGCAUAGUAUCAUUUGACCGACCUGGUUAUGGAGAGAGUGAUCCUGACCCGAACCGGACACCAAGAAGCAUAGCAUUUGAUAUAGAAGAGCUUGCUGAUGGGUUAGGACUAGGACCAAAGUUCUCUGUCAUUGGCUUCUCUAUGGGAGGUCAAAUCAUUUGGUCUUGUCUUCACUAUAUUCCUCACAGGUUAGACACGGUUUGCUUCUGGCUUGUGUUAAGAUUCAUAACACUUCGGUUUAGAGUUUAAUCAUACAUGAAAGUGUUUCAGGUUAGGUGGAGCGGCGAUGGUAGCGCCCGUAGUUAACUACUGGUGGAGAAACUUGCCUGCAAAAUUGUCUAAGGAAGCUUUAUCUCUAAUGCUUCCUCGAGACCAGUGGAUGCUUAGAGUGGCUCAUUAUGCACCUUGGCUUACUUUCUGGUGGAACACACAGAGAUGGUUCUCAAUUGCUAGCUACAUUUCAUGUGACCCCAACAUCCUCUCGUUUCAGGACAAGGAAAUCUUCUCUAGGCUCGGUUACAAUGACCUGAAUCAGGUUUCAAGAACAUUCUCAUAUUCAUAUCCUAAAGUUUACAAACAUAAUGAAGCAAGUCUCUUUGGUAUACCAUGAAGUUGCGUUUUGUUUUUGGAAGGCAUACGCAAGGAAGCAAGGAGAAUAUGAAAGUCUACACAGAGACUUGAUGAUUGGAUAUGGUCAUUGGGAGUUUGAUCCAUUAGACGUUCAAAAUCCGUUUAAGAACAGUAAUGGCUCAGUCCACCUUUGGCAUGGCGAUGAGGAUAUGUUUGUGCCAGUGUCGCUUCAACGUUUUAUCAUCUCAAAACUUCCGUGGGUUCGAUACCAUGAACUGACUGGCUCAGGCCAUUUCUUUCCUUCUCUUAUGGUUGAUGAGAUUGUCAAGACACUUUUUGUUGGAGAAGACUAGCAAGUGCAAAUGUUUCUGUAGAAGCAUCAAGAAUGUCGGACAACAGUUGAAGAAUAGAAGCAAGUACAGGGUCUUGACUUGACUGUGGCUUUAAGCAAGUUAGACUCCGCUAAGCAAUGAGUAAGGUUGUAUAUCAACAAGGACCAAGGAGAGAGAAACUUUUACAAUGUAAUGUAAUCCAUUACAAAUUAGAACACACUAAAAAGAAGAUAUAUCAAUACAAAGACAACAACACAAUACUAGAAACAAACAAAUGUAAAUUAUAAACAUCUUAUUUUUAUCUACCAAACAAAUUCAUACAUAAUACAUAUCAUAAUAUAAAAAUAUAUAUAUAGUUUCCAUGAUAUAAAGUAUAGUAAGCUGAUAGAGAAUCAGUCCUCACUCACUCACUCAUCACUCAUUGCAAACUCAGGAAGGAUCCAGCCAUUGUCCAUGGCACGACCAACAUACAACUCCAACUUCUCUCUCGCGUUAGGUAUAUCAAGCGACAAGUCAUCAAGGCUGUCUUUAACACGACCAAACCCUUUUGUCAUUUGGUUCAUUGUAAUCAACCCUUCACCAAAACAUUCCUCAAGCAGAUUCAGCAACCCAUCGUUCUUCUUCUCCAUCGCCAUCACCAAAGCUUUCUUCACCACCUCGUGGUUAAAAAACGGCAUCCCUAGAUCACGGAUACACUGACAAGCCUCUGAUGUUACUCCUCCCAUUUCGUAUUCCUCCAAAAGUUUCAAGAUCUUGUCUUUUGCAUCUUCCACUAUCCACCCGCUCCCACCGCCCCAGCUUCUCAGCAGCCUCUCCCCUGCGUGUCUUGCUGAGAUGAGAGACCGUGCUGAGCGAACUGUUUCGGUUCCUGUUGAUUUCGGAGGUAGCUUGGUUGAGAUCUCCUCGAGGUUAAGCGGAGCUAAGACGUCAUCGAUUACAGCUCUAGCUAGAAACAGAGCGAGCUCGUUUGAUGCGUCCAUGAUGUCUAAAGCUGUGUCUUCUGCUGAUUCAAGGAGCAUGAUGAAACCGUUUAUGAAAUCUUCUGUUGAGAAUAACUCCAUGUGAAGAGAAGAAAGAAGAACCGAAGCCAUUUCCUUUUCUCUGUUCUUCUUGUCUAGAGCAAGAGUUAUAAGCUUCUUUAGAAACACAGGGUUGUACUCAGGCGUUGCUAAAUCUUCAAGACUGCGGAUUAGCUCAGGAAUGUCAUCUGAUAAGAAAUAUUCUUGAAUUAUAUUCACUGUAUCCUUCUUGUACUGUCUUAGCUUAUCGUCUUGGCUUGAUUCUCUUCCAUCUUGAUCAGAGUUUACCUUGAAAGAAUCAUCAAGCCAGCCUCCAGAGAUAGCCUUGGGAACUAUCGAAUCAAACAGCUUUCUAGCAGAUGGGAUGUCUAGAGCAAGGUCAUCGAGAGACUCUGCAACUCGGUUGAACCCUUUCACCAUUUGACUCGAACUGAUCAGACCUUCUUCAGCAGCUUCGUUCAAGAGCCUUAGUAUGAGCGGCUCGGCUGCUUGAGACUCCAUAGCAAGAACCAAAGCUCUCUUCACCACCUCGUGAUGGAAGAACGUGACGCCUAAUUCUCUGAUGCAUCUACACGCUUCGUAUGUGUCUCCGUUUUCUACGUACUCCUUCAAGAUUUCGGAUAUCUUCUUCUUCGUUUCUUCUACGGUAGUGUGAGUGCUACCUCCCCAUUUUCUCUCCACUAGCUCCGCGUGGUGAGGAGCCGAGAGAUAGCUCUUCUCCGCGGUUACAAUAACCUGGAAGCCUUUUGAAGACACUGGAAGAUUCUUCUUAGAUCUCGCUAGAAAAACCGGAGGGAGGAUUUCAUCAACGAUGGCCCGGGCAAUGAACAACGCGAGGACGUUAACAGCAUCAGGUAUGUCCACCGCAAGGUCAUCAACGGAUCUGAGAAGUCUUAUAAACCCAUCCCUGAUCUGAUCAGGUAAAAUGACAUCAGCAUACAAGGCAGAGAGUAAGACCGAAGCCAUUUCCUUCUCCUUGUCGUGCCUGUCCAUGGCCAUGGAGACAAGCCGCUUGGUGAAGUAAGGAUGAUAUUCACUCGAACCAAGCUCCCUGAGGUCAGACGCCGCCACUUUCACAUCACCGGUGGUGAAGUACUCUUCGAUGAUGGAAACUACAGCCUUUUUGUAAUCAUCCAAGGGGUCUGAUACAGGUGAAUCAACAAGUUCAUCAUAUGCUCCCUGUUUUAAAAGAGAGAGAGAGUAUAUGAGUCACAAAGUAAGGCAAUGAAUCAAUCUACGAGUAAAAGAAUAGAAUCAACUGGAUGCAAUACCUCUCCACUAUCGUAAUUGGGAUCGUUUUUAUCGAGAAAGCAGUCAAGAUCAGUGUCAAGAAGCUUUCCCCAAGUUCCUUUACCACCAGCACCCUCUGCAGAUAUCAUCAUAGCCACCACAUAAGUAAAACUCUUUUUAUAUGUAUCAGGGAUCUAAUCUAUAAAGUUUUGACCUUUCUUAACACGGAUAUGUUUCCCAGAGUGACUCCGACGCACAUGCCUAAAAGGGAACCCAGCUACGGGUCCUUUGCCACCAGUGGGAGACUUAAUGUUCAAAUCAGCAAAUAAAGGAUGAGACUUUGGCGACGAUGACAAGUUUCCAGCGUUCUUCAGAGUUGCUACCUCCAGUUUCUUCCACUGCCCGUCCGUCAACAUACCCUCAUCCGAUGCCAUCUGAGAACAAUUAAAACGAUCAGAGAUAAGAUCAAUCAAGACACACAAGUGAUGUUAUCGAGAUUCUAACAGGCAUAAGAUCGAUUGAGUAAGCAAAUAUUUCAACAAGGCAUAUAGGGAAAUAGAAAGGAGAAAGAAGAAGAAUCUAUACAUGUGACACUGCACGAAUCCAAUUCCAAACCGUGAAAGAGAGUCGUGUUCUCUGCUUGGCUCGGAUCUAGAGCCAAGACAGGAGAUGAUACGGAUCGAAACUCCAGCACCGGGGAGGGCGAAUAAUCAACGUAGAUGAUGAAGAUAACGAUCACUCCACUAAGAUUCAAAAGUCACCGAUUCCAGACAGCGACUAGAGCAAAGGAACUGGAUCAGGAUCGCCCCAAAAAUUAUUAAUACAAUAUAAUAAAAGUUUUAUAUUAUAUAUGAUGGUACACGUCAUCACAGAUAGACGUGGAUAGCUUUUACUUUUCUUUAAAAAAAAACACAAUAUUCUGAUGCAAAACGGGCCGGAUCAGGAAGUUCGGCCCAUAUAGUUAGCUAUUUUGGGCUAAAUUAUUCAAAUUAAAAUUAGUAAAAUUACAUACAUGGAAAUUGGAAUUCUUAAUCUUGAUCAUAUGUUUUACAAAGUUACGUGGAAAUGUAUUAAGUGUAAACUAUUCCAAAGUGUAGUUUAUAGACACCUUCGGAAGUUUUAACCCAUGACGAUUCCAUAUGCAUUAUCAAAAGUAUCGAUUCGGAAGUAUAGUUCUCAAGUUCCCUGGCUAUGUUUUCUUCAUACUGGUGCUUUAGUUCUUUCGUUCUGCACCCGAAAACUAGCGUUUUAAGCGAUCAUCUUCGGCUUUGUUUUUUUUUCUUUUCUGAUUUGUUUAUGAAUCCUUAUCUACUUAAUAUGAUUAUUGUGUUGGCAAAAAGUAUAUGGAGAUGUAUAUAUUGUAAUUUGAUGAUCUAAUCCAAAAUAAUUAUUAUGAACUGUCUAACCAAUAUUAUUUUUAUUUGUUAUUUUUGAGUGAAUGUGCUAUGUUUAUUGAAUUAUUUGUAGAACACUGACAAUUAGAAGAAGUUGGCUAGUAGUUUUCAAGCAAACCGCCGCACAUGCCUUUUGUCUGAACACUUUCUUUUUCUGAUCCGACGGUUCCACUUAUAUCUUCAACCUUAAAUCUAACGACUCUGCUUGCUUUUAGAAAGGUCAAUUCUCUCUUUUUCUUGUAUUUGUUUACAAGACAUUUCAACUUUAGCAACCAAAAGAAAAGAAAAAUGAAAUUUGAAAUUACUUCAUACGGCAACCAAAAACAAAUCUUGUGAAUUAUGCGGCCGAGCUUUAAUCCACAACUCUACAAAAAAAAGAUUACUAGUAAGUUUAGUAUCCUAAUAUUCAGGUUUCAGUUUAUCAAAAGUCGUAAGUUUAAUAUCCAAAUAUUCAGGUUUCAGUUGAUCAAAGUCGUAUGAUCUACGGAAACCAAUGUAAAAUUCUAUUGUAGUGUAAAAAAAACAAGAUGGUUCAUGAAAUUCUCAAUUCUGAAGAAGGCUCAACUGAUAACCUUAUCUAAUUUUCAUUAUUCUUUACAAGAUCAUAGAAUCAUAGAAUGCUAACUGGUCGAAAUUUACGAUGAAAAUAUGCAACUACAAAGCAAGCACAGUACUAAUACUUAAUUCAACCGCAGUUUAGCCUUCUUCAGCAUUGAGAAUUUCAUGAACUUUGUAUGGUUCCAAGUUUAGUCACACGAGAACAGAAUAAUAUUAAUAUCGAACAUGUUUGUUGAUCAUAGUUUUCAAAACAAAAUGUUUGUUGAUCAUGCUAGAAAUAUCGAAAUAAUGUCCAAAAGUUUCUAAAUACGUACUGUUUUGUAAUGUUGAAAAUAUCCAUAAAUGAUGUUAGUUUAUUUUAUGCAUAAAAAUCGGUAGACUAAAACUCCUGAUUGUUGUUAUGGUCGUAGUUAAUGUUGAAAAUAUGGAAAAUAGUGUUUUCAUCAACGUAAGUGGUGGCUAGAGCAUCUCGAGACAAUAAUAAAAAGAACAUGUAGCAAAAUAAAAUGUCGGUGAGGCGUAAAAUUAUAUAAGCUGAUAAAGUGUUCUACAAGAUUAUUAAAGUGUGGAUGAUAUAUAGUGAUGCAAAUAGUUUCCAUGUGCAUUUAAUUGUCAACACAUUUUACACCAACCAAAAUUUUCAAUUAUUCGAUAUGAAAAGAUGUUAUAUAAAUGUAUAAGCAAAAUGUAUUGAAAGAUUGGCCUUCGAGCACAUGGUUCAAUGGUCCCAAAAUCAAAUCCCGGUGUCGGUUAAGUUCUCCUAUUAUGUUUUCUUUGGUGUGGCUGUUCUCUAAUUUAGUUCUGAACAAUAGGGCUUAUAAAUGAUAAGUUCACCCGUAUUACUGAAGUACACUAACACUGUUGACUCUUGCAGGCCAUCUAAUAGUGUUCACCAAGAUUCAUCUUUAAGUUCGUUGAGAUUUAAUUACGAAUUCUCUUUUUCUCUAUAAGCCACGUGACUCAUUGCUCUAUGUCACCUGCAUAUUGAAUGUACUGGCUCAACCAGUUUGAUUUCAACUGCUAUAAUGGUUGAGGUCAUUAUAUUAACAAUGAUGAUCGGAUCAGUGUGAUGUUGAAUGCAUACAUGUGAGAGUAGGUUUGUCAUUCGGGAUUGAAUUUUGAAACUUCAUUCAUUUCAAAAUAGCGCACUGUUUUUCUCCCUAUAUGAUUUAGGUUGUUUUUUUUUUUUUUUUUUUUUUUUUUUUUUUUGGUCACGGGCGGUCUCCGGAUUCCCAGAGGACUCGAACCCAGGUGCCUUGGGAUCAAGUUCACUCUAGUGUUACCACUAGGCUAUUCGGCUGAUUUAGGUUGGUUUCCAUUAUAAAACACAGGGAAAAUCAUUUCACAUAUAGAGAGAGAGAUAAGAGAAAAAAAUUAAUGGCUAAGAAAGGUGGGUCCAGUUAACCUCAACUUGCAUGCGCAUUAAAUCAUUCAAGGUGCUCGUUCAUGUGCUAUAUAGCCUAUAUGUUUCUUUGUCUUUCUCCCGUUCACUCAUAUGUUUCGUACUAAAACCUUAUAACUUUUUCAGCAAGAAGCCAAUGAACACAAUGUUAAAUUCCUCACAUGCAUUAUUUUCACUUAUCUUUCUCUACUGCAUUUUCUUCUCCUCACUCGCUUUGUCCUCGCCAGUUUCCGACCCCGAGCUCAUCGUUGACGAAGUCCACAGGUAUUGUAACACAAAUGUACAAUCUUUAUGAAUACAAAUGUUCGUGUAAGCUCGAAAUUUUUCUUUUUAAAGUUCUCUCCGUCCAAUGGUAGUUUUGUUACUUUAAUCUUAUCGUAAACUGACUUGUUUAUUUGCUGCAUUAGCAGUUAUAUGUACGUCCAAGAAUAAUGCAAAUAUGUUAUUGUAUAGUGGAUGUGAAAUUAAUCCUCUUUCUAACAUAUAUCGUGGAUGUGUUCCAUGUGGUGAACAACGACUAUACACAUUGGGAAAUGUAUGCAAUUGGAGGAAGUGCUAAUCCUACCAUCAACUCUCAAGGCAACCGUUUUCUUGCUCCUGAUGACUCUUUUAGCAAAGAGGUAUUCCAAUUUUUUUUUAUAUUCAACUUUUUUUAAAUACAAAACAAAUGUGAUUUGAUUUAAUUCAAACUUAUAAUAACUCAUGGUUUGGGGGGAAAUAGGUAACAAAGCAUGAGGAUGCUCCCGAAAGCGAAUGGAGUCAGAACCUCUUUGGAUCAUAUUCAACCGAGACAUGACGAUCCAACUAAAAGAAGAACUCAUAAUGAACUCUUUCAAAACCCUAGACGGACGAGGAGCCUCCGUACAUAUCGCUGGUGGGCCGUGUAUAACCAUACAAUACGUGACAAACAUCAUCAUCCACGGUUUACACAUACAUGAUUGUAAGCAAGGUGGGAACACCUACGUACGAGAUUCUCCAGAGCACUACGGGUGGCGGACGAUAUCCGACGGUGACGGUGUUUCGAUUUUCGGUGGGAGCCACGUGUGGGUUGAUCAUUGCUCGUUAUCGAAUUGUAACGAUGGGUUGAUUGAUGCGAUCCGUGGGUCGACGGCUAUAACGAUUUCUAAUAAUUAUUUGACGCAUCACAAUAAGGUUAUGUUAUUGGGACAUAGUGAUACGUAUGAACAAGACAAGAAUAUGCAAGUCACUAUCGCUUUUAACCAUUUUGGAGAAGGCCUCGUCCAACGAAUGCCAAGGUAUUCAUCAUAUGAUUUACUUUAUUUAUUUAUCAAAACAAAAAAUAUAUUGUUUUUUAGUAUACCUAUAUUUCUUUAUAUAUAUGUAGCACAAACUAUAAAGGUCAACUAUAUUGUCGGUGGACAUCUUAAAAGAAAAUAACAAAGCCAAAAUAUACAACUACUGCAUUGAACACUUAAUAAUUAUAGUUGAGUUAUUUUUAUAUGUGAAUCACUGCAGAUAGUUUUUCUAUAACAAGUAGAGUAUGUAAAUUUUGAUUCUAACAAAGUAAUGAAAGAUUAUAUUUACAUAAUAUAUAUAUAUAAACAUUUUUUUUUGGACAACAAGCUUACUUGAGCAUAAAAAGCAUGAAAGCUUUUGUUUUAGCUUUAUUAACUAGAUCUCGACCCACGCACCCACAUUUUUGUUUUCAUUUAUUUCUAAAUAAAUAUUUUGUUUUCAAUUCUAAAUUGGUAUAUAUUAUAAUAUAUAUGUGUCUAUCAAUUUUAAAACAUAAUAAGCUUACUGUAUAUUUUUUCAUUGAAUAGAUUGUUUCAAACUUUCACAUGUAUUUGUAUCUUCUUCUACAUAUAUAUUUUUGGAUUAUUAUUUCAUUAUUAAAAUCGUAACUAUAUGUAUAAAGACUAGUAAAAUAUUAUUUUAUUGUCAUAUUCAAAGAUAUUGUAACAUUUCACAAAUUUAGAAAGUUUUUAAAAAAUUAAACUUUUCGCUUCGUAGAUUUAUAUUAUCGAGUAAAUAAUUAAACAUUUAGUUUUUGUUUAAUUUUUAAAAUAAACUAUAUAGUUUAAAAUUGUUUUCAUUGGUUUAAGGUAGUAAAGAUUAGUCAUUGUUAGAUAAUAUGAUUUUUGUUAUUUUAAAAAAAAAGAUUAUAAUUUUAAAAGUUAACAUCGACAAAUAUUUAAAUAUUUAACAUAUGGAGGUAUAUUAUUACAACAUUAAAUUAUAUCUAUUUAAUUUAUACUAUCUAUAAAUCCAAUGGAUCAUCUAUUCCUUAAAUCCAAUUAUUGAUAGUCCAAUAAAAAUUUCUGGUAGGCCCAACAUUUAAAUGAUAAGAUUAGAGAUUAAAUGUAAUAUGACUUUCUAGGAAUAGGUCUAUUAGGUCUAUUUUUUAAAAAAAUCACAUAUGAAACAAAGCUGUGACUUCUGUUUUAAUAUAUAAGAUGAAAAAAUGUGUAUAUAAUAUAUAUAGGUGUCGACAUGGAUAUUUCCAUGUGGUGAACAACGACUAUACACAUUGGGAAAUGUAUGCAAUUGGAGGAAGUGCUAAUCCUACCAUCAACUCUCAAGGCAACCGUUUUCUUGCUCCUGAUGACUCUUUUAGCAAAGAGGUAUUCCAAUUUUUUUUUAUAUUCAACUUUUUUUAAAUACAAAACAAAUGUGAUUUGAUUUAAUUCAAACUUAUAAUAACUCAUGGUUUGGGGGGAAAUAGGUAACAAAGCAUGAGGAUGCUCCCGAAAGCGAAUGGAGUCAUUGGAAUUGGAGAUCCGAAGGAGAUCUAAUGCUUAACGGUGCAUUCUUUACACUUUCUGGAGCUGGACCAACUAAAUCGUCAAGCUAUUCGAGAGCCUCAAGCCUAGCUGCUAGACCGUCUUCUAAUGUUGGUGAGAUAACUAUAUCAUCUGGUGCACUCAGCUGCAAAAAGGGUUCCCACUGCUGAUCAUACCCCCACCAGCGUGUAUGUAUUUGUGUGUAUAUAUAUAAUAUGACGAAACCAACAAUUCAAAGCUAGUUGUGUAAUAAUCUUGAUGAAAAAAAAGUGAAGAAGAGUUGAUUACGUUUUAGUUUUGGUCGUUGUGUUGGCAAAACUUACUAGUAUCACUAAACACGUUUAACCAAAACCAAAAGUUACUUCCUGUUAAAAUAGUAUGUUUUAUCUACAAUAGUGCUCUCUACACCAAUAUUAGAUCAAUUUGGACAACAAACAAAAAGCAUAGCACAAAACCGAUCUUCACUUAUUUUCUCCGGUUGGACUUCUUCUUCUGCCUUCUAACUGGCUCCUGGUUGAUAGGCACUGGUAAGACGGUUCCUUCACGUAUACCAUCCGAAUCUGAUGACAUAUUCUUUAACGUUUUCUGGGCUUCAACAAACACCCUUAUAUCUCUUAUCUGUUACAGAUCCAUUAUCAUCACUCGUUAGGAUGUUAACAGCAAAAAGCAAACCCUCGGUGAGUAUAGAAGCUUACCUGUUCUUCAAGAUCAACUAUAGUCUCGUCUUUUGAUCCUAUCAACGCAGCUUCCCUGGAUAACACCAAAAAUCAAUUGUUUCUUUACUAUGUACUAUGAUGUUCGUUAAUGUAAACAUAUUUAACAAGAGAAAACAUGUUGCACCUCUCUUCUAUUUCCUUGGCCUUCUUCCGCCAAGUAUCCUGCUCUUUUAUAAGCUUUCUGUUAACCUGAACCCAAAUUUUAGUAGUUUGCAGAGCAUAAGGAACCCUUUCGAGAAUGGAACAAUGGAGAACAAGGCCUAGAGAGUCUCACCUCAGUGAUUUCAGUUUUUUCCUCUUCACAUUUUUCAAUCUCAUUCUGAAGCUCCUGCAUCUUUUUAACAACAGUCUGCUCAACUGCUUCGGCAAUACUACUUUCCUGCUUGCUUCUCGCCUCAACAAUGAGAGAUUCAUAGUACUGACGAAAGACAUCAUGAUCGUGAUAAGUAAUUGGUAUCUCUUUGCAUAGAUAUACCACGACACGAGGUGGCUACAACAUCAUCCUCUACUAAAAGCUUGUUCAUAUAUACUGUAAAUUAAGAAGAGACAGAAACACUUGCCUGUCGCUGUGCCCUCAGCUGACUUGCAAGGAGGUCAUUAUACUCGGUCACAAUCUGUUCCACAAAAACUUAAUUAGACAACUAAUAAAAUCAAGAAAGCCACUGACGUUUUAAGAUUCAUUUUAUGCAGGAAAUUUUGAUUAAGGGUGAUUGAAAGCAUACUGAAUCGACUUUGCUGUUGAAGAUGGCACCGCUAAUCCCUGUAUCCUCACUACACUCGCAAAGACCACAAUCCCCUUCGUGUGACAGACAGCGGCUGUUCAUCUCUACCGACUUUCCAUCUAUUUUUGAAUGGUUUAAGCGAUGAACAUAGUUGUCACCAACAUAGUCCCAGAUUUGCUGUGUUCGCAAAUCAAGAGAAUAGCAAUGAUGCGUUUCUUUCCAAUGCCUGAUAGAGUGUCCUUCCUUGUAUCUACAACAAUUAGAAAACAUAAUCAAUCCACAGUGAACGAAACUUCCACCUCUGACGAAGAUAUAGAUGUGUUUAUAAUUUCAGGUUACGGAAACGCAAACCAAGCCUCACCUUCCACAACCUAAGAAGCCACAGACAAGGCACGCCCAUACAUUGUCUGUUUUUCCGCAAAUAGAACAGCUUAUUAUAUCAUCUUGUUGUUGACAUAAUCGACAAACCUACAAGACGAAAAUGAGCAUGUGUUAGAACAUGUGCCCAGGUAUUUGUAACGAACUGGAUGAGUCAAGAUUCAUUUUACGCCACAAUGGUCAAAGAUGUAUCAUAUGAAACAAGGAGGGCCACUCACCUGACAGGAGAGAUAAGUCCAUUUCGAAGUGCAUGAACACUGAAACGAGUGAUCACAAAGAGUGCUGAGGAUGCCACUAGUAUCAGGAUCUAAUCGCUCUGCAAGAGUCAAAUUCCAAACACGGAUAUUAAGCAACAACAAAAGGUACCUAAAUCAUUCAAACUGAAAAUCGUUAUUCUUUAGCACAAACUCUCACCAAGACAUAUUGGGCAAGUAGGCAACUCGGUGAAUCCAACAGGUGAAGAAGCAGCAAGCUCAUCGAACUCAGUGUGUUCCACCGUAAGUACAUAGAGAAUAUGGCAAACCUCAGCCUAAACCCACAAGAAAAAAGUUAAUCUUCAUGCAAUGAACUAAACAAACAAAGAAAAUAAAUCUCCUUUCCAUUAUUACAAUACCUCAGAAGGAGCAUACUUUCUCCCAUUCAAGUUCUUGUGGAACCCAUCUGCUCCCGCUUGAUCCGAAAGUGUGAUCAAAACACUAUACCGAUCUUCCAUUGCAUCGUUCCUAGAAGAUUUUUCAAGAAGAACCAAAUCAGCCAAAAGGCUUUAGCCUUUUUUUUCCUGAGUUCUUGCAAAGUGACUACUCACCUGAUGAAGAGGAUCUGAGAAACAUGUUCGAUUUGGGAAUCACAGAAGCGGAUGAAAUCGAGGGAGGAGAGGUAAUUGGGGACAGCGACGACGAAGAGAGUGGUUGAUCGGGAGCUAGGGUUUGGGAGGGAGCUGUGCGAAGAGUUUCGGUAGAGAUGGAUGAGACCUUUGCGUUCGGUGAGUUUGAGAGAUGGAACGAGCUUAUCGGGACGCUGAGAUCUCCUCGACGGCGCGAAGCUGAAGCCGGAUUCUUCGUCUUCGAUGGAGAUUGGCUGCUCCGAGUCAACGGAAUGAACUCUAAGGACGAACAUCGUCUCUGAGAUCACGCAAGCCGGAAUUCGCGAGAAGCGGUGGUUCAAUGACGGGCGAUACACGGUGACGGCUAUUCUCAUGGGCCUCUCUUGUCUUUUAUAAAUUCCUGGUUCAUGUAAGGUUGUUAUAGUGGGCCUUAUGUAGUUAAUGGGUUUUUUCUUCGAGUUUUGGGCCCUUUUAGGGUUUAAGCGCACAACAAAAAAUCAGAGCUCUCUCGGGGGCAAACGCAGCUUUUGCGGUUGACAUAAUAUUGUUAAUUUAUUAUUUAACCGCUGUUGUAUUUGGUAGUUAACCAGUCAUAAGUAUCCCGCAAAUGCACCAAUUUCUAACCGCAGAACCAGUCGUACAAAUCUCUUAAAACCGCUAGAAACGGCAACCAUCCGCAUCCGCAAACUCCCGCAGCCACAACCGCUGCGUUUGAACCAGUCAGACCCUUAGUCUUAUCGGUAUAUCUUAUCCAUUUCUGUGGGGGAAAUGUUCUGAAGCCAACAUAUUUGUUUUCAUUUUGACCAAGUUCAAAGACUAUUUUAAAAGGCUAGCACUACCUAGGCCUGAGACUUUUAUUCGAGAUCCGUAUUCGAUCCGAGAUUCGAUCCGGAUCCGAUCCGAAAAUCCGGAUAUCCAGAGAAGCUGAAUCCGGAUCCGGAUAGUAAAAUGUUGAAUCCGUCAAAGCUGAAUCCGGAUCCGGAUAUCUUGAUUUUUUUGUCUGGAUAUCCGGAUCCGUAAAUNNNNNNNNNNNNNNNNNNNNNNNNNNNNNNNNNNNNNNNNNNNNNNNNNNNNNNNNNNNNNNNNNNNNNNNNNNNNNNNNNNNNNNNNNNNNNNNNNNNNUGGUAAAUUAACAUUUUCUAAAAAAAAAAAUUAUUUAAAUAAAUUAUUUUUAAAAAUGUCAUUCACCUUUUAAAAAAAAUUAAAAUUCGUAAAUUAUGUAAUAUUCUUAUACAAAAAAAAGGGUAACAUGUGUUAAGUUUUUAGGAAUAAGAUUUCAAAUUUUGAAAAAUAAAAAAUUUAAAUUUUUCAAAAGAUAAAAUGCUAUUUUGGUCAUUUUAGUUUUUGAGUGCUAUUUUUGUGAUAUAAACUUAGAAAUGUGCUAUUUUGGAGAUUUGUCCAUAUGAAAACUAUAUAUUAUAAAAUGAAAGGCUAUCUAGUAUGCUUUAUUUUAUUGGUUAGAUGGUCAUGUUAAAUCAGUCUAUUAUAUAUAAUUGUAGGUAUGAUAAAAGCCACAACUGGUAUUGUUGUGCUACUACUAAAGCUAAAAAAGUAAUAUACAUAAAAAUAAUUAUACAUAAAAAUUAUAUGGGCCCGGCCCGAUAAAGGCCUAGAAACAUUAACAUAGAAAUUAUAUGGGCCCAGCUCGAUAAAGGCCUUAUUAACAUUAACAUUAACUUAGUAUAUGCUUCUCAUUUUAACUACAUACUUUGGUAUUACAAAUAUGUUACGUGCCACGGAUCUCUAUGCUAUAAAAAAAAUCAACGGUCGAAGAACUCAUCACCUGACAAAAACGAAAUGAUGACGAUUUGGACACCUUCGCCGUAGUUGAUAUCAAAUCUUUCCAUAAGAAAAUAAUAUGUAAUCAUCAAAAGCACAUAGAAAACAUAAGAACCUCCAUGGCUUCUCCAGCCUCUUCCCAAGGUUCUUCUAUGGCGAUGACGAACGGUGAUGUCUCAAGAACCCUAAACCCAGCCGCACCUCUCUUCUUUCCCCAAAACCCUUAUCUGCAUCACUACUACUUCUCUUCACCUCAGAUUCUCUUCAUCUCCGACACUAACUUCCCUCCCUCAUCUUCAAUCGUUGUGUACUAUCCUUUAUGGUAUAUCAAUCUUAACCCUACUUGGUUUGAGGCAACACAAGAAUUGCCUCCACUUCACUCUCAAGACCCUAUCCAAGAGCUGACUCCUCCACCGACCAGUAGAAAAAAGGUUUUUGGCUGGGAAAGAAGCAGCAGACACGACCGUAAUAAGCUGGUGUGGAGGAGGAAGAUCCAUUAUCAAGCUGAGUCCAACGGCGAUACAACUGUCAUGCUUAGAAACAUACCCAACAAGUAUACGUACGUAUCUAUAUGAAUAUAUAUCAUUCACUAGAAGAGUAUUUGUUAAACAAAGGCGUGAAGUAAUUUGUUUUAUAUGAUGAUGUUUAUCGAAUCUUAUAAUUACUGUGUAAGCAGAAGAGAGAUGCUUAUUCAGUUCUUGGAUGAGCAUUGUGAAGAAGAAAAUAACAAAGAGGAAGAUGAAGAGAAUGCCUAUGAUUUCUUAUAUCUUCCCAUCGAUUUCCAGUAAGUUUUUUGUUUGUCUAAUUUUUUUAACUUUAUCACUAUUCGUUAGUCUUAAUUUUUGAUUAAUAUCUCUGACAACAUCAAAAAAUUAUUCGAUUUGCAUACCUAUACACUUAUAUAGAUGUUUGCGUGUAGGCAGGAGCAACAACCUAAUGAUGAUACAACUUUUUAGAUAUGAUAAUCGAUUAAUAAUCUGGAUGAUAUAUCAAUUCAAUUUUUUUUUGUUUUCGCUUUGAUAUAUUUGUUACAUAAUUAACAAUGUCAUAGACUGAUAGUACGACAUGUUAUAUCUUUCUUUUAAACUAAAUUAAUGGCACUAAAUUGAGCAGGAGCCAAAUGAACAAAGGGUAUGCAUUUGUGAACUUCACAAAAGCAGAAGCAGUGUCGAAGUUUAAGGCGGCGUGCAACAACAAGCCAUGGUGUUGUUUCGGUUCAAGGAAAAUACUUGAAAUUGCUCAUGCUCGGAUCCAGGUUAGUUCUAUACUCUAUCUUCAACAUGUGUAAACGCAUAUAUAUAUUCUUUUAUAUCAAGCUUAUUGUUAACAUUCGUGUUUAGGGAAAAGAUAAGUUGGUGAAACAUUUCGAGCAAAUGAUUUAUCCAGCUGAAGCAUACAGUGCGGUGACUUUCAUCCCUGCCCGUAGGGGACCAAAGAGUACGGGUCUCACCAUCAUGGUCGGUAAAUGCACCGAAGCAGCCAUAUCGGUUUAGUGGUUGUUUCAUCUAUCAUGUUACAUAUGUUUAGGAUUAUGUAUGUGUGUGUGAUGGGGAACAUCGAACUAUGACUAAUGGGUGUGCCUAAAAGGAAAAGAAAGGACUCAGACACCGAACCAAAUCCAAGUUAAAACUCUAAAAAGUUUAGUUUUGGAUUUGGUUUUUGAUGUGUGUGAGUUUUGACUUUUCCUUUGUGUUUAUUUUAAGAGUCUACGUGUAACGGGUUUGUACUUAAAAAGGAAAAGAAAGGACUCAGACACCGCACCAAAUCCGAGUUAAAACUCUGAGAAGUUAGUUUUUGGAUUUGGUUUUUGAUGUGUGUGAGUUUUGGCUUUUUCUUUGCAUCUAUGUUAAGGUUGUAUGUGUUUUUAUGCACUACUUAUGUAUUGUCGUUUAACUGUUGGUUUGUCAAUGUUACGUAAGUUGUAUUCUCUGUUGUUUUAAUUUUCGUGUUAGUGAUAAGAUUAUCAGUUUAAAAAAUUGGUUGAAUUUAUGUACCUUUCUUCUCUUAACCCGGAAGUUCCUCACAUGAGAACAAGAAUAACAUUUGACAGGAAAAUAAAAUUUAAAAUCAAGAAUUAAAAAGCGACUACCGAUUAUCACUUAUAAGACCAUCUCCAAUCACACUCUAUAAUUUCCUCUAUAUUUCACUCUAAAAUAGAGUAACUCUAUUAUAGAGUGAACCAUUGGAGCAAAUUUAACUCUAUAAUAGAGUUACUCUAUUUUAGUGUAAAUUAUAAAAGAAAAAAUAGAGUGCCUUUGGAGAUGCUCUAAGGACUUUUUUUUUUCUUUUGUCAACGAUGGAUACGUAAACUAUUAGGACUUUUUGGACCACAAGGAACACGUUCACUAUUUGAAGCCGUGUUCUAGUUAUAUCCCAACCAGAGAAUGUUUUGCUUAGAAAUGUACUUUUUGUGAGGUAGUUUCCAAUGUUGUCAGUAUUCAUCUUUUUAGUUAAUUUUAUUUUCUGAACACUUGUUUGUACUGUACAUGGAGUACACGAAGAUCUUGCAAAUAGAUAAAACAUUGUUGACAAAAUCUUUGUUUAUUGGAGAAUGGACCAAGAAGUGACGCUUACUCUUUUUUUGUUCUCUUCUCUUUUUAUAGUAGAAGACUAGCUAUCAAUUAUGGCAAAAGCGACUGACCUCUUUUUAUUUACAAAAACGUCGAAAUGGUUUAGUAAAAGUGACUGUUCUCUUCCUAUUUAAAUGCACUUGACACUUUGACAGUCCACCCAGAGAUAAGAUAGACAUCUUAAAUUACGUAAUGCACACCGAAGCUCCACUUCUUGUCAGCCGUGCGGCCGUAAAUCAAAUAUUUGCUAAAGAAGAAUACGACUUUUGUUUGAAAAAUAUACGACAUUUUUUAGUGUUUAAAAAAAAAACGACAUUUGUUUUCAUUUCAUAUGUAAACAGCCUAGUGCUACACGUAAAAUGUUUCUUUUAAUUUGUAGUAUUCGUAUGUGCAUUAAUAAAAUAUUAUAUCCAUUUGGCCGGACGAAAUACUUUACACAAAAUUUUAAAUUAUUUCCCCGAAUCCAAUCUAGUACUACUACACAAAAUAGUCAUGUGCACACUCACCAUUUUAAAUUUUGUUUAUUGGGAUUUCAGAAAAAUAUAAAAUUUUGAGCUCGUACAAAUACAUGUAUAAGAAAUUGUAAAUUUAUUCAUUAACAUAACUAAACAAACAAAUUUUAAAUGGGUAUUUAACUCAGUUCUUUUUAUUCUUUUGUUUUUUUUCAUAAAUUAAUUUGCGUUUGUUCUUAAAAAUAUCAUUUUAUAUGUUUCUGACGAAAAAAAUACAAAACUUAAGCCUUUUUACAAAAAAAAAAAAAAAUACAAAAAUCAGUUAAAAUUGUUUUGACAUGUUUCCAUCUUCUUCUUUCCCAUCUUAAUUUUGUGAAAAAAAAUACAAAACUCAGCUAAAAUCUUACUCGAUAGUGGUAAAACGAAAAUUUUCUCGUGGCUAAUAAGAUAAAAUCGGUAAAAGUCUAAACAAAAACCACUGAAGAAAGUAUUUAUGAGAGACGAUGUUUACAUUGUCGUAUCAACGUUUUAAGUGGGCUUGGUUGCAAAUGGUCCGUCACUGGCCCACACUUACACCAACUCUAUAACCUUCUCUCUUUACAAGAGACUUUCUAAUCUCUGCUUCGUAACCCGAGCCUGAAACUCGCUUCGGUUUCCGAACCUCAGUCAUUGCUCCUGCCCCCGCCGUUGAAAAAAAAAAAUUGCGAUCACUUUAUCUCUCUCUCUCUCUCUCCGUUAAUUCUCGAGCUCGGAAACCCUAAACGCACUCAUUCGAAAUUGCUGCUGGGAGGAAGAAGAAAGGCUUUCCCUUUGUUGUAGAUACAUACAAGUGUAAGUUCGCAUCUUUCUCUCUUUCCCCUUUUCAGAAACCCUAAACUUUUUCAGUAUGUGAGAUUGAUUUUAUAAUACUCAAUUAUUGAAGUGUCUCGGUGGGAAUUUAAGCAUUGAAAGCUCUCGUUUUGAGGUUUAAUUCUUGGUUAGUGUAAUGUUUGAAGCUUCGAUUUGAUUUUGAUCUCGAGUGGAUUCGCCAGAUUUUAAAGCAAUUCUGUAAAAAAAAAAAAAAAAAUCUGAUUUUGAGCUGUUGAUAAAGGAUUGAGCUUUAGUUGGUUUUGGUUUAAAGAUCUUGAAUGACGUUUAGUAGUAUCAAAUGUGGUCUCAAGUUUGCUGGAUUUGGAGUACAUUGAGUGUGUUUAUAGUUUUCGGAAUCUCAUUGGAGCUAAGUUGUAAUCUGAGGGCGUUGAACAAAUGUUUUGGUUAUGUAGUGAAUCAGAGUUGAGGAUUAUGCUCUGUGGUCUUUGUUGUUGUUGUGUGUGUGUUAAACAACUUCAAAUAAGUAGUAACUGUUUUGUUUGUUUUAACAGGAGAUAUUGAGAGUAUUCCGAGGAUGUUAGUUGAAGGCAGCUCAUGAAUUCUCGAGGAGACGACAAUCUUGAACUUUGUUCUGUUUCUAUUCGAGGUUCCAGAUAUUUAGAAUAAUUCUUAGGAGCUGAAUCUAUGUCUGGAAACGAAUACGGAGAGAGGAUCCACAAUUUCUUUGGACAAGAAGGCCUAUCUCAAGACCAGCAUCAGUCUCAGGUGGUUGAUGGAAGCUGGUCCGGUUUCAGCAACGGUUUAGUUGGAAACCAGAGGCAUAUAGACACAUCCAUUAUUAACAAUCUGGAGAGUUGUAACACACAACAACAACCUGGUAUGCGUUUUGUCUCCUUAUGACUAACUUCUAGCUUUUUCUGUGGGAUGUUGCUGGAGAUUUUAAACGUUUCCUUGCUUGCUUAUUCCAGUUGAUCCCGAGAGAUGGCAAUCUUCAAAUUCACACCAGGGUUUGAAUUUUACGCAGCAGCAGCAACCUAUAAGGGCUGAGUACUCCAGAAGUCUAUUGCAAGAUAAUCAGCAACUCACAAAUGGUUACAUGAAUUGGAUGGCGAUGCAGAAUGGGUCGAAUGUUUCGGGAGUGGGUGUAGAAUCUAGUAGGGAUAACUUAUCAGCGAAAGGGUUUACUUCCGACAUUCAGAAAACUCCUAUGAGGUUUGAGAUGGGAGGAGAAUCUCCGGUUAAUUAUGAUUUCUUCGGUGGUCAACAGCAAUUAAACAGCCAGCCGCCGCCUGGCAUCCUCCAGCCGUUUCCAAGGCAGCAGAUGACGUUCAAUGAUAUGCAACUACUAAAGCAGCAAGUUAUGGCUAAGCAAAUGCACGAGUAUCAACUUCAACAACAGCUUCAUAAGAAACAGCUGGAGGCCAGGCAGCUCAACUCUUUGAAUUCAAAUGCAGUAAAUGGAAAUCGCUCAAGUGAUAAUCAAUCACACCUUUUGGUUAAUGGGAUCCCUCUUCAGGAUGCGUCUAGUAAUGGUUGGCAGCCUGAUCUUGUGUCAGGAAAUACAAACUGGAUGCAUCGCGGCAUUUCACCAUUUGUUCAAGGUUCAUCCAGUGGGCUUGGCGCUGAGCACGGUCAGGCGAACUUACAGUUUGAACCUUCCUUGUACGGCAUGCCACUUGGUGAAGCAAAUGCACCUCAAAGUUCCUUCUCUCCCGUUCAGAUGAACAGAUUAGCUUCGGAGCAUGGUUCCUCUCUCACCAAUCAGCCUGAUAGUUUUAUGCUACCUAGAUCCACAUACCAGGAGAGAGCGAUGUUCUCAAAUUCUUCAGCUCCAGGUUCAAAUGAUAGCCCAAAUUUCGAAUGUUUCCAGCAAGAUGAUCCACACGAUAGAAACGUUUCAGCGCAGGAGAAACUCGAUCAGAUGAAGGGUUCUGGUCCACCAGAAAAAUCAUAUAUAAAAGCGCCUGGAAAUGUUUCUGGGUCACAGAAGUCGACAGCCUUAGAUCCAACAGAAGAAAAGAUUUUGUUUGGUUCGGAUGACAAUUUGUGGGAAGCAUUUGGAAACGACACUGAUAUGAGCUUGACGGGAAACCUGAUGUCCAGUAGUUCUGACCUUAAUGAUGCAUGCCCCUCUUUGAAAGGUGGGGGUUGGAGUGCUCUUAUGCUAUCUGCUGUAGCAGAAACAUCCAGUAAUGACGCAGGCUUUGGUAACAGGGUCCAGAAUCUUGGCGUCAAGGCUUCAAAUGCACUAAGUGAGAGACUCCACAAUGAUUCGGGCUCUAUUCAAACGAAUGAGGGGAUUGGAGAUGGAUUUGGUAUCUGGAAGGCUGCUUCUAAUCCAAACUUAGUUGCUCCUGUUGAACAGAAGAAUCACUUCACCCAAAAUCUACAAAUGAAGGCAAACUAUGGAUUUGGCAUUGCCACUGCGGAAAACAAGUCUACUGCUUCUAGGGGUGUCCAGGAAAACCAACAGCAUUUGGGUAAUAACUCUGUGGAGAAAGCUACCCCUCAAGUGAAUCAUAGAGAUGGCAGUCAAAUUAGUCGCAAAUUUCACUAUCAUCCCAUGGGGAAUAUUGGCGUCACUAACGAGCCUUAUCGAGAAAAAAAUUCUCAUUUGCCACCCGCAUUGGACCGGGUGUCUGGAGGAAAUCAAGGGUAUUUUGGGCAGUCAAAGUCACUUGGCCAGCCACCUAUGAACAUGCAAAUUGACAGGGUAAAUUUUUUAUCCGUUGGUUUUUGACGUUGUUCUAGUAAUCUGAAUCCCUCUGAACAUUCUUUUGGCUUUAUUAUGGCAGGGACUUGUUUCACAAGGCAUGGGUUCAGAGAAUUCACCUAGUACAUCUGCUUCAGCCGACAGAAGUGUUGAUAUGUGUAAUCAAGUGCAGAGUGCGUCAAGGUACUUUUUCUUUGGGUGGAAAAGGUUUAGUCUGUCAACUAACUGACAGAGUUACCUAACUACCCUCAACUCACUGUUUUCACUUAUUAUCAUUGAGUAAAUCUUAUUCCCUAUGUGCUUGCAAUUGCCUUUCUGAUUUUUUUCCUCCGCAGGCAGACAAUGCUUGAGCUUCUUCACAAGGUGAACCAGCCGGAGGAGCGUUCUGUGGAAACAGAUGCUUUCAAAAUUCCUGAAUCAACACCCUCUGCAGAAAAUGGUGGUCAAUUUAGGCAUAGUCAGUCAUCUGCUUCUCAGGGGUUUAGUUUACAGCUGGCUCCGCCAUCUCAACCAGCUCCCUCACCUGAUAACGUGCAGUUUUCUAUGAACUCUUUGCAGCCAUUGAAUUCACUUCAUACUGCCCCUGAAAAAGGAGCAACAAGUCAAUCAAGGUUUGCUCCAUGGGCAUCUAGUCAAUCUUUUCCACAGCAAUCCACUUAUCAAGGACCAGG